rnacentral:lncRNA from 1 species
GAAUUUCCUGAAGAGGCAUAUAACUGAUGAACUUAAGAUGUCCUGUUCUGACUUCCUGAGCUAUGAGUUGCAGGUUGAGUGCAAAUAUCUACCAUGGGAGUCUGCAUCUAAGAGGGAGCUACAAGAUUACGGACCGGAGAUAAUGUGAGUGACUCAUUACCUUACUCUAUGCAAGUGCCACUUAAUUCUGUUAUAGAUCCAUCAUUAUCCACGAUGACUUGCCUGAAAAUAUUUGAUGUUAUUUAAAUAGUUCGUGGGUGAUCUGACCUCUGAUGCUGUUUUAACAAUCUGAGUGCCACCUUAAGUUGGCAAUUUUAUGUUAUAGUGGUUGACAGUUACUUAUUACCGGAUUUCUUCUACUUAAUAAUUUUUCUCCCUAGUGACCAUUUGUCAUCAUUACAUAAAUAACGAUGAAAAAUCUGUUGGCACAAUCUUGCAAUGCAGUUUUUUUUUCUUUUUCUGCAAAGAUAAAUAGCAAAGAUGAAAUUUAUAAAAAUUUGUAAGAGGGGAUCUUGAAACCCUAAACCUCGGGUGAGCAACUGCGAUACAUUACCGAUGUUUUAGAUGAAAAAAUUUGUAGAACGGGGAUGGGAACCUCAAUCUUUGUAUCAUCACUCUCUUAUUUCGUUUGUGCAGCUUGGGUGCAGAUGUAAUCUAUGACCCACAUUGCAUACCUCAUCUUGUUCGAGUUCUUUCGGCACUUUUGAGUCCCACCUCAUCUGAACCAAAAGGAAAUGGAGCAAAUUGCUGUGGACCAACUCAGGAUACUGAUGAUGCGGAUAAACUUCUACAGAACAAGGAAGAGGAAGCUCCUGUUGCAUAUAUCGCUACGGUCAUCCGGAAUCAGAAGACUUUUGAUUAUUUCCUCAGAGUAGCCGCGGAAAGUCCCCUCUCUGUUCUUGAUAUUACAGAGAUGAUGAAACCAAUGAGUCUGCUUCCUUACAUGCUAUCAUACGAUCGAUCAAGUGUUCAUCUUUUGAAGGUAUCAUUUCUGUGCAAUUGAGAUGCUGACCUUAUUGUUAAGACUCAGAUGUGAUAUCACUCUUUUUACACUGCUUCCUUCACUUAAUUUUUGCUGCCGCUGGUUCUUCCAGCAGACGUAGUGAUCCUAUUACUCCAUCCGCUGUCUCCCACAGAGAAAAAGAAAUGUAGCGAUCUUUGAAUUUAAAUCCCCACCAAAAACAGCAUCACUACUGCAGCAGCAAAAACUUUCAUGGAAAACCUGCACACUUUGUAAACACUUAAUAGAAGUACUACAUGGACGAGUAUUUUUUACAUGACCUAAAACGAUAACCCUAAUAACAGAUUUAGUGUUUAGCAAAUCAAAAAUCAACAGUGACAUUACGCAAAUCGGAGUAUUGCCACAGCUACCAAUGCAGCAGCUCUGAAGAAAAUUUCUUUCGUGCUUCUCUUAACCUUGCUAGCUAUCUCCUCCUCUGUAAGAUUUAGCUUGCUCGAGUUUUUACUGACAUAUAUGAUGGUAUCUCUCAACCCAUUGAUGGCCCAUGAAAGCCAGAAAAUCCCAAAUCCAAAUCCAAAUCCGAAUCCGGUAUUCAACAGCCUGGUAGCAGACAAAGGUACCCUUCCACAUACCAGUUUGCAUAGAACAGAGAAAAAAACAGCGAGGCCAGUACCAGCUACCCCAGCAGAAAAUUGGGCAAGGAAUUUGCUAAUCUCAGGGCUUGAUUUCUUCAGCGAGGGGAUUGUUACACUGCUCUCUUUGUCUAUUAGAGCAGAAAGAAGGCUUUCGCAGGCAUGCAAAUAGGUCCUCGGGUAAAGGUUCUGCUCUCUUCCCAGUUUUUUGUUCUUUUUCUUCUUAGGCAGCGUUUUCAGCUUAGCAUUAUCAGAGCUGACCAUUCAUAAAGGUUAGUUAGGUACACAAAAAAAGGAUAUAGAAAAAACAUAACACUAAUUAACAUAACCAUAGAUCCAUGUAUUAGGGUAUACCUCUUCAGAGUAGCAACUGUUGGAGAAGACGCCUGUUUGUGAGCUUGUGAUCGUCCACGACCCCUUCUGCUCGUAAAGCAGAUGCACACACCCAUGAGCAACAGUUAUUUUAAAAGGAAAAGAAAUGGAAUUAACACAACACUAUGUCUUGGCAACCCAAUAUGUCAAACUGAAAAAGAUGGUGCAUAUCGGCAGAUUUUGUGUUUCAUUCCAACUUAUGUCUUAUGGAAGUCUGGUGAUCUUAUGAUUUCUUAGGAUACAUUUAUCACAUAAAUAUUUAUGCUGAAUGAACUUUUGUGUUAUGCCAUAUGUUCAAAAUAAAAUCAAUUAUCAUCUGUCUAAAGGUUUCUUGAUAAGCUUAAAUUCUAAAAUUUGUAUACCAGCCAUGGGUUCAUUUGGGACAUUAGUUGAUUAUGUGCGUUAGAAUUAAGUUGGUAAGUUCAAUGCUGUAAGAAUUUUGGGAGUAGCAAUUAGGUUAAAAAGUCAGAAACUUGACACAAUUUAAGUAGGAUGAGUUUCUAACUUAAUUACUUUUCUAUCCAAGCUGACCGAUAAUUAUCUAUGAAAACAUGAUCAAAUGAUCAUCCUAAUCCACUAAUCCAUUCUAGCUUUUGUUUUGCCUCAAGGAAUAUCUUGGACCAAGUCUGGAGGUCAUGGCUUACUCCAAGUCCAUCCCACAUUAGACAAAAGAAUGAUGAACCUAAAUUGUGGAAGAAAAUAAGUUACUGGAAUCCUGAACAACAUUUUCAGUUGCCUGGAAGCUUAGCUCUUUUUCCAGAAUUUAACUAGCUUUUUGGAGAUCAAAUGUUCAUUUUGCGAGGGAAGUUGACUCGGGAGAACACCAAUCAACAAGAUCUUUAAUUCAUUAGUCAUUUUUCUAAACAGAAAAGCAAAAUAUUGCUCUAAGGAGAUGUAUAGUUACAUAACUAGAAACCUCAAAUGAUAUAUGAAUUAAAAAAAGAGAAAACGUAGACAUGAAUACAGUUAAAUAAUGUUCAAUUAUGAAAAAACAAAACUAAAUUGAUGUGCGAGUAAUUGUCACAAACGAGAAAGUAAUUCCAAGUUUCUGAUCAUUUCAGUAACAGUAAAAGGAGGGAAAGAUCUACCUUGUGAAGUAUGGGACUAGCAAUGAUUGUUUACUGCCAAUUAUUGUUCUUUUUGGUAGAUUAAAAUCUGCAACAAUUGAUAGUAGAUCUUCCGUUUGAGAUGCACUGUCUGCAAAUAACAGCCUGCCAUCUGGAUAUACUGUGAAGUAUGAAGUAUCAGAUAAGUUCCCAACAAAAUCCAACUGAGGCUCCGGGACAAAAUUUUGCUUUUGUAAAUGUAGAGAAUGCUGACAAUCGUCCAUUUCAGCCUCAUAGAGAGAGGACUUAUCAUCCACAAGUACAUGCGGUGAAGGCAACAUGUCAAUUGUCACUUCUUGGAACCCCAUAACUUCUGAAAGUAAAGAAGCAUCUAUGCCUUCACCCUCUGCCAACUUUGAUCCAGACAUAAGCAACUUCAAGAUUUUCUCAUUUCUUAGGCACUUCUCGGCAAUUCUAAAGCUAAAAAGCACCGAGUUCGGGCAUGAAUCUGAUUCAAAAAGAGGUGUGAGUUGUUGAAAAGAUAGUAUUUGGAAGGAGGAAAAGGGAAGCCUAAUUUUGCACAAACCAAAUAAAAUAGAUAUAGACCAUUUCAAAGUGCUAAAUUAUUUCUUUUACAUAUAUAUGUUGCUCAUAAGUAAUCUAACUAUUUCCCAAUCUUAAGGACUAUCUCAUUUACUAGUUGAGUUGCUGAAAGAAAAACUUUUAUUUCACUUGAGGGGAGCAAUAGACAUACAUAUAAGUCAAUAAAAAAAGAUAACCACAUAGUGCUUUUAGAGUAUAGUAGCAUGGAGUCAUAUGAUCUUAUCCAUGCAAUAUAUGUCAAAGAAAAAAAGCCUGAUACAUGCAUUAUUUUAUUACUAUAAUGAACCGAUACUCCCUUCACUCUACCAGUGAUCACAUUUAAAGAAUAAUUAGUUGAAUCUAGUACAACAUAUAUACUACAUGGUGCCAUUUAACUACAUAUAAUUUAAGUACACUGAAUUUUCAUAAUUUUCUUUUUGUUGAUAAUGUUCCCUCCUCUAGACUCAAACAUGCUCCAAAUUAUGACAACCUAUGCUCAAAGGAUAAUGAUUUUAUGUUUCAGUUCAUCCUGAUGAAGUUUUUUGGCAUUGCUAGUGAGAGGUGCAGGAUGAUAUUAAAGAGUCGAAGGUGUUCAAGUCCAUUUUCCUUGAACAAUAUGGAGUGUUUCAACUGGUACAAAUAAUGUAUCGGGCAUCAGUGUAUUUUUUUAUUUAAUAUGUGGAGUUAGCUAAACAUUAUAUUUAAACAAAUGCUUGAAAGAGUUAGAGAAAAUAAAAAAGAUGAAUGAACGAAAAUUGAACUUUAAGGUCUGCAAAAUAACAUGGUAGCUUUUCAUCACUGUGAGUACAAAUGAGCCAAGUAUUUAACAAAUAUUGUUCCUAGAUCUUCACAUUAAAACGAUAUAGUUCCAUACACCAUGUAUGAUACACAACAAUGAAAGUUAUUCAUGCAUCAGUAUAUGCCAUUUAUUUUGUUAUCCAUAAUGCUUCUCUAAUUAUUAACUAACUAAAUGAGCAUGGCUGGAGAGGGACGCAACAAUCAGCAUUGCUCUCUGACAAUGUCUAAAUUUCCUUCAUCGGAUACCUAAUUUUUGUUUUCAUUUUGUUUGUUUUGAUAGAUAAGUAAACCUUUGCCCCCUCCAACGCGCAAGCGCACGCAACACACAGACACACACAAUGUGUGAAUUAUGAGUCCUAUUUAUUUUUUUGCAUUUCUAAUUUGUGGGUACUGUCAGCCGCAUGGCUUAGUAUGCCAGCACAUACUGUUCCAGCAACAAACAAGCAUCCUCGUUCAAGAAAAACUUAACUAUAGGAAACUAUAAAUUUUCUAAUACUAAGAUCUAACACACCCAUCAACACUUAAAAGACUUUUACUUCUACUACCAGUUAGCAGCAGUCUUUCAUUUAUCCAACAAUGAUUGUCAUGAUUUCAGAAAUGAUGUUUCCACAUAGGCAAGGUUAUUCAGAAAAAUGAUAUUUCCAUAUGACAAGCAACCUAGAAAGAUAAAUUCCAGUAGAAACAAAGGAUUUAUGUUUAUCAACUGGAGCCCACAUAUGUAAAACAAUAAAGUCAAUGAUAAGACUUAUUAAAGAACCCCAUAGAAACAAAGGAUUUAUAUUUAUCAACUAAUAGUAACAAAUAUAAACAGAAGUAUAAAUAAUAAGAUUUCUUAAGAACUAUAACUUCAUUCUAAGCAACAACUAAGCUUCAGACCUUGCAUGUCAAUAAGCACAGGUUUUUCAAUCAUCGGAGAUAGGCUAGCUGAUUGGUUAUUCUCUGGCAAUAGAUGCAUUGGUCGCCCCACACCCUGUAGAUGCUGUGCAUUAAACUGAACAGAACCAAAUCUUAAUGCAUCUUGCUUCCUACCAUGAACUGGCAGCAAAAUCUGAAACUCCUGAACCAUAAAAAGUAGAAUCUAAAAUAUUUGACAAGAACAAAAUGGUACUUAACAUGUACACAAAAAGUAUUAGGAUGCAACUCCACAAUAGAGAAGCUACCCUAGUAUUCAAAUUUCAACAGAAAGUGAAGAUGAUGUAGAUAAUCCAUAUAUUUAACAACUAGAACUAAACUUUGAUAUCCAAAAAUAACAAUUCGUGGCAAACUUGGUAUACUGCUAGGCCAAAGAACAAAAAGGGAUGGCACGCCAGAUUAGCCAAAGUAAUAGUUAACUUUCAAGCUAGCGAUAAUUAGAUAUAAAAAAAUUAUACUGGUAUAAGUGAAGUUUAUAAUUCUUUUGCAUUUUUCGCAAGUUAUUGGGCAAAAGCAUUGUUCUUUGAUUCAGGAAAAAUCCAUAAUAAAAUCUCUAUCUUGUUUCAUGUUUCUAAUAAAAAAACAUAUGAAUGCACGCAUAUUAGCCCACACAUCCACAAAUCUGCACACAAGCAAACCUAUGGACCCACAUUCAGGAAUUUGCACAUAAACUGGGACAACAAAGAUAUGCAUUCAAAUGAAACACGUGUGUGUGGUGACACAUGCACACUCAUACUUGUGUUCCAGUAUAUUCAUAGAAGAUCAACAGGCAUACACCAGCAGAGGUUGUAUAUAUGACACAUGCCCGCAGAUGAACUAGUAUACGCUCAGACAAAUGUGAGAUAUAUAUUCACAAAUUCAUAAAUUAUGUAGGAAAUUAAUCGACGUCAGACAAUGCAAUACAGAUUAUAUCGAACAUACAAAAACAAAGUGUUUUACCAUAAAAAGCUACUACAGAGCAAGAUGGGUAACUUCAUUCAGAGAGGCAGUGUUGCAUGAGCAUAAUUGCAAAGACAGGAAAUGCAGCAAGAUCCAAUCAACAGAUACGAGACAGCUAGAUGGCAAUGUAGGAGAAGUAUUCAGUCCAAAAUAGUAGAUGGAUAUAAACCAAUUAAAAGUCCGUGAAACAACAAGACAUGAUCACUCUAUUUUGGUUGUGUUGUUUUCUCGUCUUCUAAUUGUUUUUCAGAGAUAUCUAAAAAAAUUGACCUUAAGUCAGAAAUUGAAAAUUAAGUUAAACAAUUGUCAACUAUUCUCUUGAGAAGUUCAAUUAUACUUUAUGGUAAUAUCCCUUGUCAAUUUUGGGGCAUAUGCAUACUUUUAGACAAUCCACUUCUUUCUAAUAGACUCGUUACGUUUUAAGAAUCCAACAAAUGUCCGAAUGUAACCUUGGCUCACACAUGAUGAUGUUAAAGUCAAGAUUGAAGCUACUCAGAAUGUCCUGUGCCCAUGACAGAAUUGCAGUGGUGCACAUACUUACAACAAAAGCUUACCAUUAAAAUAAAAUCCUUCUAUGAUCUAAAAACGAGGUUAUCUGAAAUCCUUGUAGUUAGAAAAACAAAAAACUAUGAUGUUUGAUCACAACAUUCAACAAUAUGCCACAAAGCAAAAAAAAAAAAAAAAAUUCAAGAGGUCCCCAUGAAGAUCUGUUGAAAACAUUAGUUUGCCCUAGUGAAUUAUAGAAACUAGCUAGAUUAUUAUAGAAAAGAGAUACUACUGCUACAAUAAAAUAAAAUAAGCGACACCAAACCCUUCUUUCUUUUCAAUGGAACAAUUACCACCGGUAGUUCUCAUGUGGAACGCAUAUUAGCUUAGCACAAUCCAUUACAGCAUAAAGGCCCAUAGGCCUAAAGGAAUUUAAGGGAAACAAAAAUAAGAUUUGCGUGAAAGAAAAGAAACCACAAUGUAAGGCAUCUUCCUAUAUUCCCUUGUCAAUCGGUAAAAAAAGAUGAGUCGCAAAUAAUAUGGUUGGAAAUGGAGUUUCUUCGAACGUUUUUAAACCAGAAAAAUCUUCCUAUACCAUAUCGAACACAUCAAACGGAUUGGCAAAAUCACCACAGAAUUGUAAACGGAAGCAUAGGAUUUCGAUUGUUCUCUCUACCUUGGGGGCCUUAUACGGACCCAGAUGCUCCGGGUGGAUUAUGGCUCGCGGGAAGGCAGCAGAAGCAACAAGGGAGAGUUCCACCAUCCUUCGGCUCCGGGAAGAAGAACGCAGCACCAAUGACGACGGGAUUUGCGGGAGAAGAGGUAAAGGCGUCGGAGCAAUUUGAGGCCAGAGGGGAUCAACGCGGAUCCCCGGCCUCACAAAAACCCCAGAUCAAAACUAGAGGGGGAGGAAGAGGGUAAGGCGAGGGCUUGGAUUGGAGCCGCAAGAACCGGUGGCGUCGAGGAAGGCGAGUCCACGGCCGUGUGCGGUCUCCUCUUUCGGACUCCACUUGGAUUCCCACAGGGCCAAGAGUUCCGUCGCGUGGGUGUGACGGCGUUGGUCGUGAGGUGUGACGUGACCCAGUCCGAGGUGGCUUUAGGCACGACGGCUGACGUCAGAUGACACGAACGUCGCAUCUCAGUCAGUAAACGUUUAUUUAUUUUUUUAUUAUGAGUAAAUUAAUUCAAAAUUUUUAUUUACCGAUCAAAAAUAAAUUUUAAAGGUUUUUUAAAAUUAAUAUUUUAAACUUUAUUCAAUAAAACUUAUUAUUGGUGUUUAAUAGCUAAUAAAUUAUCAAAACAAAUAUUUAUGUAAUAAUUUUGUUUGACAGUCAACUCUUUUACCAAGUAAGUUGUCCAACAACAUAAUUACUUUAAAUGAUAAUUGGAUGAUGCCAUUUAUAUAUAUAUAUAUAUAUAUUAUAAUAUCCAAAUAAACUCAAUCCAGAAGGUGAUGAUGGAUUAUAUUUAAUCGUAAAUAACGUUGAUCAAAUUCUUAUUAUUGUAAGAAGCUGCGCAAUAAAAACGGUAGAGAAAUUGCUGGCUAUGGGGUUCGAACCCAUGCGCACUUAUGUGCAGAAGAUCUUAAGUCUUCCCCCUUAACCACUCGGGCAAACCAGCGACUGUGAUUGAGUUAAUCAAAAUAUUUAUUAGACUUAAAUAAGUCAUUCUCUCGGCCAUACUAUAAAUUUUUCCUUUGGGUGCCCUAAAUCGAUUCCGCUCGUCUCUUCUCGUCGCCGAUCGCUAGGGUUGCCUCCCUGCCUCUUCUUCUUUUCUCAGAGUGGAGUGGUCUUUAGGCGAUGGCGGAGCACUUGGCUUCGAUCUUUGGGACGGAGAAGGACCGGGUGAAUUGCCCCUUCUACUUCAAGAUAGGAGCGUGUAGGCACGGCGACCGGUGCUCGCGACUACACACGAAGCCCAGCAUCAGCCCCACCCUCCUCCUCUCGAACAUGUACCAGCGCCUCGACAACGCUAUCACCCCCGGACUUGACUCUCAGGGCCAGCCUAUGGACCCCCGCCAGAUCCAGGAGCACUUCGAGGUCCUAAACAUUAUCAUCAUCAUCUUCUUCUUCUUCUUCAGAUGCUCUUAGAUAUUGGCUAUGAUUUAUGUAGGUCCAGGCAGGCGUGUCCAAUAAUAUUAUCCGAUUUCAAAAAAUAAACUUGUUUAUGUUGAUUUCUUUGUGGUAGUAAUAAUCGUUGGGGUCUUUCUAAUCUCGUAGUUAUCAGGUAUAUGUUUCACGAAGCGAUGCUAAUCCAUAUACCUCGAAAAGACUGAUCGUGUUCUCCAAACUUACUUGCUGCAACUAUCUUAUGAAUGUUGGAGUUAUGCCUCUAAGCAUUACCUCAAUUCAGGGAGGGGAGAAGCUGCCGAAUAGAAAUAACAACUAGGUGUAUUACUAAUUAAUUCUUUUUGUUAUUGCAAAUGAGAGAGAGCAAUAGUUGAAGCAUGAGCUUUAGCACUUAGAUUUCUGUUUAUCUUUAGGGAUACUAGUCUCAAAAUCUUUCACUUGGAUUUUGAACUUCUUUAGUAACUUUUGCUCGUUAUAUAACACAUGAAAAUAGCUUACAAUCAUGGGUAUGUACUGCCAUGGAGUACCGCCCUCUCUCCUCUCAUGUUUGCAUUAUGAAGAUACUUAUUGAAGUUCAAUAGUAUAUUCCUUCUCAACUAAAAUAGAACUUACUUUUCCUUCUCCCAAGUGCCAUAGGAGUCCUCUUGUGAACAAGGUAAGUUGUCUUUUUCAUGCCUUACAUUUAUAACUCCUUUUUGUAUAUGAUUACUGAUCUCUCUAUACAUAAAAUCUUCUGCCUGUAUUGUUUGAGUCACCCACAAGAUGCACAUGGAUUGCCACGUCAUCCAUUGGAGACUCAUAAGCUGGCUCAGCAUAUUACAUUCUGAAUCACUGUUAGAUGUUAGCAGCCUAAUUCAUGGCCAAAGCAGGCUGAUUUCGGAAUAAUUCAGGAUAGAUCUUGGCUGGUUUUGAUUGGUGUCCAGUUGGAUUAUGUUUCUGUCUAGGUUGCAUUGUAAUAAUGGAAGUGGUCCUAGAUUUCCCUGUCAUAUCUGUUUCCUCAUAUGUUCAGUCACAACAAUAGAUAUUAUGUUAUCUCUAAUCACCUAACAAGAGGAAUACAUGUGCAAAAUUAGGAGGAAAGGGGAAUAGUACUAAAUAAAAAAAUUUAAAAAUAAGGCAGUGAUGUUGAAGUUAGUAGUUACAGUAGCAAAUAUUUUAAGAUAAAACUUAGACAAGAAGUGACAUUUAAAUGUUAUAGAUAGAUGUGAUAAGUGUUAUGACUACUUCAAUGCUUGGAAGCACAGACACGGUGAUUUGGGUGAUGUACCCGGGUCCAACAUGUGUCGGACAUGGAUUCAUCUCUACACGAUCGAACAUGUGUUUUUUUUAUUUUUAUUUUUUUAAUUCGUCGGAUAUACCAUUCGCAUGUUGGACUAAGUGGUCACGUGCGAAGGUGUUAGGGAACCUCUGGAAUUUAACCCGGUGGUCGCUUGUCAGGGUAUCAGGAACCUUCGGAAUCCGUCUUCCUCAUGGAUAUAGGGAGGAUUUCGAUGUUAAAUACCACCUAUCCCGAUUGAACCCUAGCACAUCAUCAACUGCCCUUCUUCCUCACCGGCUUGGCUUCCCUUGCUUUGACUUUUUAAAAUUCUUUUGAUGAAAAGAUUAGAUGGUUAGUAAUUGGCUUCAGAAGGUUAGCAACCAUCGCUUCCUAUAUCAUCCUGGAUAUUAUCUAGUUCUUCUCAUGAAUAAACAUUGAGGAUUUAUAUGUAGAGAUUAGAUUUAGAAGUUCGAUUUUUUGUGUUAAAAUUUACUUUUCAUAAUUGUAACAUCUUGAUUUAGUCUCACAUCGAAAGUGGGUAAAGAUUAAGAUUGACUUAUAUGAGCUAGCAGUUUAGGCUCACUGAAGUUAAUAUAUUAGUUAUCUCGUCAGGCCAUAGAUGUGGCUGGAGAGCACGUCAUGAUGUGAAGCCAUCAUUGGGCUAAGCUUCAUAUUAGAGAGAUUAUAACAUUCUGAUUUAGCCAUUGAAACUUGGGUUGAAGUAUUUUGAGCCAAUGGUUUAGGCCUAACAAAGCUAAUAGGCUUGUUAUCCCAUUAGGUUGGGCUCAGACAAUGAUGAGAGGCUCGAGUAGGAAAGGUCUAUUCGUGGACGCGGCCGGGGAGCAUGUCACGAUGUGGAGCCACCAUUGGGCUAAGUCUCAUGUGCCCUCUUAUGGGGUUUGAUUCUAUACUAUGUUGGGCGUUGAUAAGGGCGUCAAGCCUUUAACUAGGGGGAGAUUAUAACACUUUGAUCUAGUCCCAUUUUGAAGUGGACAAAUGACAAAGGCUGACUUAUAAUGGUGAUAGGUGUACUACUAUUAAUUUUGGCCUAAGCAUUUUGGGCUAGUAGUUUAGGCUCAACGAAAGUAACCAGUCAGUUAUCCAUUAGGUCGGGCUGUGAAAAUAACUGCAUGUAUAAAAUCUUAAAUGGGGCUUAUCCUACCAAAUAAGUAAAUAGCUUAAUCUUGUAUUUUCUUUCAUGUUUUUACAGUUUCAUUGAGCUGGUUUUUGUAGCCUUAUCAUAGAAGUUUGAAUAAGCAAGCAUGUCUUAUCAUUUCAAGCAUUGGUUUGCAUGUUAUGAUAUUUCGAGAAAGAAAAAAAAGGCAUCUCUAGAGAUUAAAUAAAGUUGUUUAAGGACAUAUUUUGUUACUUUUGAUGUCAUUGUUAAUGGUUUCAGUUAUUUGUGUCAUUUAGUUGCAAUAUGUGAUUUUAAUGAAGCUGUGUUGACAGAAUUUUUAUGAGGAUCUUUUUGAGGAGUUAAGCAAAUAUGGAGAGAUUGAAAGCCUGAAUGUUUGUGACAAUCUGGCUGAUCACAUGGUACUCAACAUCUGAAUAUGAUGAUUGUUUUAAUUUAUGUUAUAUUUAAACCAUUAUCUCACACCUCUUUGUUUCAUUUGCAGGUUGGUAAUGUUUAUGUUCAGUUCAGGGAGGAAGAGCAUGCUGCAAAUGCGCUUCGCAACCUGACAGGAAGGUUUUAUGCAGGUUGUGUUUGUUUGCUUUGGUGUUCCAUUGUAUGCUAGGCCUUUUUGUGACAUUAAGGUUUAUCUUUGAUAAAGUUCUUGGUUCAUAACUUAGUUGCUAUUGUUUCUGUUGUCUAAUUCCUCUUUUUAGUUCUUAAAUGGAGUUGUAUUUGCAGGACGUCCAAUUAUUGUCGAUUUCUCUCCAGUUACCGAUUUUCGUGAGGCUACAUGUAGGCAGUAUGAAGAGAACACCUGCAACCGAGGUGGAUACUGCAAUUUUAUGCAUUUGAAACAAAUUAGCAGGUAUAUUCUAUUAUUAUUGUCUGACUUCUUUGCACUUUUAUUAUUUUGAGUUGCUUUUCUAAUAAAAUUUUCAAUUAUUGCCAGGGAGUUGAGACGAAAAUUAUUUGGGAGAUAUAGGAGGAGGCAAAGAAGCCGUAGUAGAAGCCGAAGCCCCUAUCGACAGCGAAACUUUGAAGACCGUCAUGUAAACCGUAGCCAUGGCAAGCGUCAUGGUGACAGGGAUCAGUAUAUUGAAGAACGAGGCAGAAAACCUCGAAGCCGAAGCCCAGGUCGUAAGAGGAACCGCAGCAGGAGCCCUGCAGGAAGAAGGAAUAGAAGUCCUGUCAGAGAAGGAAGCGCCGAGCGAAGGGCCAAAAUUGAGCAGUGGAACAGGGAAAGGGAGCAGGCAGAUGCUGCUAGAAAGAACAAUGAAUACACACAGAAUGGUCAGCAGCAGCAUGAUCAAGAAGAAUGAGGUCAUUGAUAUCUAUGGUUUUCUGGUUCGUACUUUGCUUCUUUGGCUUUGUUCUUUAAGUCGUAGAGAAAGAUGCGUCUUUGGAUAGCUACUUAUUCACAAAAAGUAAAGCUCACAGUCCAUUUUCCACUGUGCAGGUGGUGUGCAGGUUCAAAGUCCUGUUCAGUGGAAUAUAAAAAACUAAAAACCUUGUGUCUAGAGAAUUUCACAACACAAUCACCUGCUUGCCUGCAUUAUCGAUUUUUAUUUGACUAAAUGUGUCUUUUAGGUAUUAUGGCUAUGGCAGGGGAUACCCAGGAUAGUACUCAUUAUUUAAGCAUUCGUCCCAUAUUUUACUUAUCAUUUAAGCAUUCACUCAUAUAUUAAGUUUAGCAGCAUAUGGCCUACAAGUCCUGUUAAGAUAGAAGUAAACGCAAAACCAAAAACCAGUUCUAACCAUCAAUUGAUUUCAGCAAUUGAGGUAAAACAAAAAAUUGCAAUUUUUUUUUUAUAAACACCAGGCUUCUGAGAACCUUUGGACUAACAAGCAUCCUUUAUCAUGAUACUCGAAUAAUCAAAGGAUUUUAUGUCAGGUAGAAUUUUUUUUCUUUUACAUGCUUGCUUUGCUACUUGAUUGAGUAACGAGCACUUGGUUUUAUACCAUGUUGCUUUUCUCCUUUUGGCUGGUUUAAUUUAUCUUUAAGAUUCAAUGAGCUUAUCUUUUCGACAAGUUUUGCAGGUCCAGGUGUUCCUGCUCCUUGUGGGCUUCAAUUCAUCACUUUGUUGCUUAUAUGAACUUCAUUUUCAGGACAGGGGCGAUAACAUGCCAGUGAAUUCACCAGAGUCUGCAUCAGAGGCAGGGUGUCCAAAUAAAGUUACUCAGUUUCCGUCUAGGGUGCCUUCUACUUUUCAGAAUCUAAUGGAACCUUGUUAGCUUAGUUGUGGUGUUUAACAGUAUGUAAAAGCUGCCAUGUAGCGUUUGGAACUUGUAGUAUGAAGGUGGUUGGUCGAAUAUGAUUGCCUAUCGACAUCACAGUAUAUUACGAUAUUGUGGUACAUCUGAUAAUGAUGGUGGUUGGUCGAAUAUGAUUUGCCCAUAGAUAGCACAGUAUAUUAUGAUAUUGUGGUACGUUUGAUAAUGAUGGUGUUUGGUCAAUAUGAUUGAUUGCCUAUCGAUGUCACAGUAUAUUAUGAUAUUGUGGUACAUCUGAUAAUGAUGGUGGUUGGUCGAAUAUGAUUGCCUAUCGGUAUCACAGUAUAUUAUGAUAUUGUGAUCGAAGGUGAUCAGUAAUUCAUGCUUGCUGUUUAGGAUCGUACAUGAUGGUUUGAUGUUUGUUAAUUGAGUGUGUAUACAGAGGCAGUAUCUUCUUUUUAUUGAUAAAAACUGUUUAAGCUGCUCUUCAAUGGUUGUGUGGGGUGCUUCUUUUUUCUUUUUUAUUGUAAUUGACAUCUUCAAAAUUUUGGAGUGAGAUUUAGGUUUCAAACUCUUAAUAUUUAGUAAGCAGGAUUUAAUAUUUUAGUUAUUAAAAUUUGUUGGAUGAAGUUUUAUAUCUUCAAUCCUAAAUGGGUUUUUAUGUGUACGAUCAGGUGGUCUCUUACGUGGUGAAUGCACCAUCCAACUGCCAACCGUCAACAACCGCCGGUCUCAAAAGAAGAAACACUCCUUUCAUUGAUAUCACGUCACAGUUUCGACCUUUUCAAUUUGAUCAUACUGCUGAAUUAGAUUGUCAGAACAUGUAGUUCUUUUUUUUCUUUUUUUUUGAGACGGACAACAUAUGAUGAGAUAGACAACAUAUGACGCUGCGAAGUUAUCAUUGAUUAAACCAAUGAUGAUGUUUGUCGUGGCAGACCGGGUUAAGAUAAGAUACUCUCGGUCGGUCGGUCAGCAAAUUAACAGAGUUAUCUUCGAUUAAACCAAUGAUGUUUGGGUUAAGAUACUAUUGGUCAGCAAAUUAAAGCAACGCAGGGAGUAGCACUUAAAACUUUAUAUGAACUGACGACAGGAAUGCAAGAAAUUGAUACGGGCGUUGUCAUUCACUUGCAAAGCAUAUCAUCCACGAAACAGCAGUGUGAUAACAGUUCAAGCGGUGGGAACGUGCAAGAGAAGACACAUCCAGCACUGUGAACGCUACGAGUUCCAUGACAAAGCAUAGUAUACUGAUGAACGCAAUCGUAAGUGUAAUCCGCUUGAAGGAGAUUUACAUGCAGAGAGGCAAACAGGCUACCAACACAGAAGGGAAAGAGAAAAAUCCCAUUUCUCUCGUCAAAAUUCUCGGUAAGACAGGGAUCACAGACGAAUAGAAAUACCGUGAAUUGCUAAUUUUAAUGCACUAUAACAAGAGCUGUGACGGCACGAGGAUGGUGUUUGGCAUGAUCCCUCAAAUGGGGAUGAUCUGCUUCCAGUGACUUGCAAAUGAAGUGUGAAGCUGGUAUUUGUUUUUCCCUUUACACGUCUGUAUCGGCACCACCACCUCCGCUGUUGGAGAGCUUUUCCAAUCAGUGCAACACCGAGGGAGCGAUUCUAGCAUGAAGAAUGCAGCAUGUCAUCCUGUUAGCAUUGUCGUAACUGCUGAAGGAUAUGCCCGAGCAGAAAGAGCAAAUGCGUCAAUAUCUGGAACAACGUUCAGGACAAAGUUAAUCCACAUUUUAAGUCGAAUAAGCAAUUUGCUUACAUACAGUCAUAGUAUUUGCAGAUCUAAUGCAGAAUAUUCAGAAAUGACAGGCCAGAGAAAGCAGCUUACCAACAGAACCAAGAACAACCAAUUUGAGUUCAAAAUAGUCCAAUUGGCACAUGUGUUUGGUCCACUUUAUCAUGCUCGGCGACAUCCAUGUUUUGGCAAAACCUCUGUGACAUACAGUGAGCAUGCACAAUCAGAAGCUGGCCAGGAGUGCCGUUCGUGUUGCUUGCAUCGUCUUGCUUCUUUGAUAGAUCCAAAUAAACAGUCCCUUUAUACAUCCAUUCAUCCCGUACUUCAGAGUAAACAUCUUCAAAUGGUUCUCCGCAUAAUGCACAUAUGCUUUGGCUCUCAUCAGCAGGAACCAUCAGUUCAGAAUCCUUUUCAGAUGAACCAACUUCCUCCAGCGAUAUUGCCACCUCUGAGGAAGAUUGCUGAUAUCUCAUGUCUGAAAACCAUUUUCUAGACCUUCCGUUAAAAUUACUUGUUUCAGACUCCUUGGAGACAUGCCAAUCUAAAUGCCAUUGGAGCUGCUCCUGGAGUCUGAACCUUAGACCACAUUUGUGGCAUUGAAGCUUUAGAUCAUCAAAUAGGCUUCUGACAACUGAAGGAUGAGAUCCACGAAUGAUUUCAGAUUUGAACUCAGUGCCUAAAUGCUCCUUCAAUUCAGUUGCACUGGAUUGUACUAGUCCAGCACUUGCAGUGGAUACUGAUGCAGCAGGCUGGUCUUCCAAAGGUGGAGCAACACCUGGGGUAGUCAAGCUUAAAGAAACUUGCUCUAAACUAUUGUUAGUGCAUUGAUCUCGGACCUUAUCAGGCAGCUGAGCUGCGGAUGUAGUUGUCAACACGGUUGGUGGUGAGGCUAUUAAACCUUUUGCAACUAAUGAACUCAGAAUACCAGAAAGUGGACUCAGAGUGGGCCCAGACGUCUUGGAGUUCUCUGAAUUAACAUCAACCGAGGAUGAGGAAGGCGGAGGCCCAGGUGGUAGAGGAGGUACCACAUCUCCUGAAUGUGGUGGUUUUAAAUCUGGUAUGCUCCCAAGGGAAAAAGCAGGUGUAAAUGUUAAGGGAGUACUUAAAGGAGCAGCUGAUGUGAAAACCUGGACAGGAGGAGGUCCAACUGGCAAAGGAGGUUGUACACUCAUCUUCUGGAAGUUGCUGACUGAAUUAUUCGAAAAUAGACCGCUAUUCAUGAUAGCAGCCAACAAACUACUUGUGCUAGACUGACUUGAGGCUUCAACAACAGGAUUAUUUGCAUGGCUCAUGCUUCUGCCAGAGUCUUUUCCAGUCUGAUGAAUUCCAAGAUCCAUGGGCAGAGGUGGCAGUUUCUCAGUUUGAUGGGAAGGUUGAGACUGGGUUUUGAUCUUAAGGGAAGGUUGGGUCUGGGCUUCAGUUCGAGACAAAGGCUGAGUUUCUGCCUGUUGUUGGGAUAGAUUAUGUCGUGAUUGCUUUAUCAAAGGAAGAUGAUUUAAGGAUGCUGAAGUAGCAGAAUCAAGUAAGCCUUCAAGCUGCUGAUAAGUAUCUGAUUGGGACUCUAUUGAGCCUGAUAAACUAUCAAAUGGCUGAGCACGAUUCUUCACUGGAAAGAUAUCCAGGGACCCUACCGGCUGUAAAGGCUUCCGACCCACUUGAGAUAAUGAAUUAAACAACAGAAGAUUUUGAUCCGUUAAGUCGUGUGGCUUUAGAUGUUGAAUGGGUUCUGGAGGAGGUAAAUGAGAAGACAGCGAUAGAGGAGGCUGUGAAAGAUGCUGCCUUUGCUGUUCAGAAGUUGCACCUGGCACUGGGGUAUUAGCGUGAGGGCUCAAUCUUGAAGAUAGCACAGAAGAUUGCAGCCCAGGCAGAGGCAAAGAUGAAUUAUCAUGUGUAGAUAAACCACCACCAGAAGGGAUUAAUUGUUGACCAACUCUUGAGCUUUUGUCAUUUAUUCCAACCUCUGAUGCUGGUACAUCACGGCGAGACCAGAAGGAUGAGGAAUUUUCUGAUGAAGCCCUUUGUUGUAAUAGUGAAUUUGAAGAGGUCUUUAACACCGAAUCAGUCUCAUGCUUGGCACGAGAUGGCAAAAUGUGCUCACCAAAGUCCUGCAUAAUAUGAAUAUCAUUAGCCUAUACAUUUCAAUGGUGUAAGCAUUUAUUUGACAAGCUUGAAGUUGAAUCUAUCUGACAAAUACAAGUAUUUCAAUAAAAGUGAACAUAUCACCAUUAGCAAGAACAUAAAUAAGUUCCAACUAAGAUUUCUUACCUGAUAACACACUGAACAUUCAAUUUGGAACAGCUCAGAAUUACAAAGGAUCCAUAUUCUAAAAGAAACAUUCAAGUUGCAGACCAUAACAUCAACAAAACUACAUGCGGUAUCUAAUAUGAGAUAUAAAUAGUGCAUAAACUUCUAGCAUCCUGCCAAGCUGAAAGGAACUGUUUCGCUUUGCAAUGAAGAAUAUGCAAGCAUGCACUAUUAAGUUCAAGCACCAAGGGAAAAUAUUGAAGUCAUUAAAACAAUGAAUACCUUAAAAAGUGGAAUUCUGCUUUCGGUUUUAGACGUCUCCACUAAGUGAGAGAAGGCAUCAACUGUGUUCAAGUUAGUUUUUGCAUGUUCAGUCUCCAGAGGGAUCCACUUUCCUCUUUGCAGGCUAGCGGACUUGUCAGCAUUGCCACUAGUCCAUCCACCUUUGAUUGAGUUGUUGGUACCUCCAUAAUCUGUUGGUCGGGUUUUUAUGUCAUCCCACAUAUAUUCUUCCUCCUCAGAGUUCUUCCAACUUCUAGAUGAUUCCAAUUUCAUUCUAUCUGUAUCACAAACUGAAGUUUGCUGGCUAUUAGCUCGCAUAGGUCCAGAUUUCCCAUAGGUUCCAUAAGAAUGAUUGACAUCAAAACCAUUCCUUUCGCUUAAUUGUGCCUGAGUAGCAGUAAUACCAACGCCAUAAUAUGGUUUGCCAUGCCCAUCUUGGUCUUUGAGCCUCUCGCUGACCCUUGGAAUGCCAAGGUCUGCCUCUCGUGAAAUAUCAGAAGAAUAUUCAUGAUCUCUAGCAUCUUUAAGUCCUUUUUUCUCAUUAAUCACAUUGUUUACUGUUACCCGUUGUGAAUGUUGCAUAUUCUGCAAAAUAGAACUUAAAUUAGCAUAAAAGAUAUAGAUCUUUAACUAGAAGACAAAGUUACUUCUAGAAUGUGAAAGCUUUACGAGCAUCUUUAUGAGAAACAACAUACAGGCAUCUUAGUAGGCAGAUUUGUCCACUGCCUUGAUUUUCCUGCCAUAACAAUUUUGUCAGAACUCUCUGCAUCAUCAAAAGUACUAACCACACCACUGACCUCAUCAUUGCUUAUGUCCUUGGCCUUCACCAAACAAAAUGGAUAUCAACAUAACAAAAAAUAUGUGUAGAUAGACAAAAAAUUCUUCAAGAAAAUACAAUAAAUAUAUAAUGGAGAAUAAUUCUUUUAGUGCUCGUUCAUCUAUUUAGGACAAGAGUAAACAACAUGAUAAAUAUCUUCACAUGCCAUAAGUUACAUGAUAACCGUAGCACACAUAUGCAUGCAUGUUUACUUAUGUUGACCAAGUCCAUUAAACCUGUAAUGGUAGAGACAUCACAUUUUAAAGGAGAACAAGACAACACAACCCCCAAUUCUUUCUCUCUCCCUCAUUUUCCCCCUCAUCGCCUCCAUCAUGCAACAUGCAACAUUAGCAUCAUUCCAAAUUACACAAUCUUCAAAACAUCUAAAAUCUGAUGUGCAAGCCUCAUGCAAUGGGACACCAUUAGGAAUAAACAGUACUAAAAACCUCAAACUAUAAGUUGAUGGUUACAGAUAUAAGAGUGCAGGAUACAGGAAUCUAUUUGUAAUCAUAAUAAUCAGGAAUUAUAAGCCAUUUGCCUAACAUUUUACAACCAUGAGGUUACGGUAUUUCAUGUGCUAUAUCUGAAUUAUUGAGUGAAUAGUGUUUCAUUUUUCACUAACAAAAUGUUCACGAACAGAAAAAGCUAUUAUGUGGCCUAAGUCCAAGAAGUAAACAAAAUCCCGUCUUUAUUAUAAAAACGUGUGAAUACUAAGCUUAUACAAAAUGCGUAAUCCUAUGAUGGACAUAUAGCAAGUAAAGAAAAAGCAUGGGACUUUAAGAUAGCAUUUGGUGUCCUAUAAUAAUGUAACUCAAUAACUUUUUCUAGAAAAACUCUGAAAAUGACAAAAAAGAAAGAAAGAGAACAUAUAUAUCACAAAAUUGAUACUGCAGACUUAGCCUUUGUUAAAUCAAACUACAAAAGCAAGAAACUGAAAUGAAAUCUGGAGGUUAACAAAUCAUCCUGUUGUGUGGUCAAACAAAAGGCCAACUAUGAAACAUCAAAACGGUACGGGCAAGAGGAAGGGGGGGUGUGUGGGGGGGAUCGGGGUAGCAUCAACGUCAAAAACCAAACCAAAAGGAAAUGGAAAGAAAAAAAAAGCAAAACAACAAUACAAACCGCCAAUGGCAUCUAUAUGUCAUCAGUUUCCAGAACAUCACAAGAAAUUAAAAACAAAUUCCUAAGAAAAAGCGAACAAGGAGAAAACAAGGAAAAGAAAGGGACAAAGAAGUUGUGAGACCAAAGGGAAAAAAAAAGAGGUAGUGCCAACUCCACCGAUUGACAUUGACCUGGCCAGUCAACAAGUCAUGUAAUAAUUUGAAAAACCAGAACCAAGUUGGGUUCUAUCUUUAUACCUAUGUCAUAUAUUUUGGUUUUUUGACUUAUUUGGCCCAAAACCAUGUGACUCAGCCAAGUCACCAAGCUAUUCAUCAAGUUUUCCAACCUUGCUUAACAGGUCUACCAGGUUAAUUAAGAACUGAAAAAAAAAUCCCAGUAGACUAAUUUUCCUGUAUUUGCUUGGAGAAGGGGACGCUAAGAUAAGAGAAAGGACGAGCAAAUUCCCAGAUCAAAGAUCAUACCAUGUUCAAAAGUAAAGAAAAAUCUAUUUCGAAAACUUUGGAUGUGCUUUUUAAAGUCUGAAAACACCCGUAAAUCCUUAUAAUGAGAAAAUAAACUUGCAGAACAGCAGUUUAUGACUAAAGAAAGGACAGGAAAUCUUAAGCAUGGUGCAAAGGUAUAAACAUCAAUUUUUUUGCCUCAUUCCUAAACUGUCAAGGAAGCUCAAAAGCACAGUCCAAGGCUAUGGAAACCAGAAAGCUCUAUAGGGCUGAUUAAAUACCAAAACAUUGCAAGUACAGCAAGCUUGACUAACAAAAUAUAGCAUAAUAUUUUAGUUUUCUUUCUCAAUUCUCCCAGAAAUAAUUGAUCAGAUCAUUCUUUCCAUUAAUCCCAGCCUUCUAAACAAGCAGCCAGAUCCAAUACCAAAAGAGUCGAACCUUUAUUGCAUUUUGUAUCACAUAGACUUUUGUCUCUUUCAUAGUAGGAGGCAUAUCUCUAUGUCCAUUUGCAGAACACUUUGGUACAAUACACUGCCUACAUAAAGAUGUAUCUUCAAAAAGCUUUCAUGCGUCUUUGACGCAGGACAUUAAUGACAAUGCAUGAGUUCAUAUCCAGAAACUCGCAGUACAACUUGGAUCAGUAGAUACUAAAAAUGGAUAGUCAAUACAAGUACAUGUGUAAAAUUCAAGAAAAUAUUUCUUCUUAACCUCUUUUGCUCCUUAAUCAUCUAGCUAACUCAGGUCAACAUGAACUAAUUCGAUAAAUAUCUUUUCCUUUUUCCAGUAAGGAAACAUCAUUUUUCAAUUAGUACAAGAAAAAUUAUGAACUAAUAUUGACAAUUUAUAGCCCAUUUAUCCAAGAAUCACUACCCAUAUUUUAUUCAUUUAAAUCACAGGAUCCUUUACCAGUUCAUGUACCACUUUCUGCAGUCUCGUUUUCUAUGUAACCUACUAGUUUAAGCAAUUUCCAUGAAAAUUUCCACAAUUUUGGACAUCUCAAUGCAAGAACACUGAUCAACAAACAUAACCAUGUCAGAUGGACAGUGUAAUGGUAUCGUAGUGACAUUUACAUUGACCAGAACAUAAAUUGUGAAACCAUUAACACACUAAAACAACACAAGAGUACAAAGCCGAAGGAAGCCAAUAACCAUGAUAUCUGAAAUCAUAAGUGGCUGGCUUACCCUUGAGGAAUGCAGUUUCUGCCUUGCCUCCAAGUAUUUUGGAUUUACAUGAAUGCUGUGGGCUGGACGUUGUGGUUGGGAAUCAAGUUUUGAUGAUACAGAUCCAGAUGAAACAUUGAUAACCGGUGGGAAACCAAGUUCUUUUUCAAUUAACUGAAGUGAGGCAGGGGGGAACACUCCUCUCCAUGUCCCAAAAAGAUGUCUCAUACUAGGACGAAUAGAAGAAUCAACCUGUUUAUAGGCCUUGCAGAAUACCUAUAAAUAAAAAAUACAUAUAUCACAGAUCAAGAACUCGAAGAUGAAAUGACACAAGACAAAAAGGAGAGGGUGAAAGGAACAGAAGCCAAAAUAUGCACAACAGCAAAUAAUGAUGCAAGCUUCGGAUAUAUUAAUCCAACAGCAGAAUCCACCUCAGGUAGCCUUGAAGCGAAAUAUCUGAUAUAAUCUCUUCCAAUAUUCUUCACGAUACUAUCUAGGAGAUACAGGGAAGGUAACUUUUGUUCAGUGGCCACCUGCAUAUCAUCAUAGGAACUAUAUAUCAUUGUUAUUCCUUCAUAAUGAAAAGAAAACAAUACAUAAGUAAAGAAGGGACAAGGAACUGAAGACACAGGGAGAUCAUAAAAAACUACAGAAAAGAAAUGGAGAAGAAUUUUACAAGCAAUUACGACUAUCUAAAAUAAAAAAGUUUACAGAAGCCAUUGAUUUAUAUUGAUAAUUGUUAAAGGAAUAAUGUGGAUUACAGAGAUAGACAUUUUGAUAACGAUAAGGUAGAGAGAACAAAAGGAACAUAAUUCAAGUUAUCGAGAAUGGCAUGCUUCCUGAUUCACACUUUGCUUACCUACUCUGGAAAUGUUGCACAUAAUUGGUGUUUCGAUGAAAGAUGGGUCUGAGCCUCAAAUUUGUUACAUAUAAAUCAUAUUUUAUCAAUAUGGACUAAUUUCAAUAAACUAGAAUAACCAAUGUUUUCACAUUUUUUAGUGAGUAUAAAUUGAGAAUUUAAAAUGGAAUAUCUCAGAACAAUGGGCUUACUAUCAUCUACUAACUUUUACGAUGCUCCCAAUUCUUCUUUCUCAUUCACUCUAAUGCUGCUAAAUCUAUCAGAACAAGUGCUGUUCACAGAUAGUAGUAAUCGAGAACAUAUUAAAUUGAGAAUACACUUUUACUACAUCUAGGCACAACAGCUUCAACAUUGACCAGAGCAUGAAUCGUGUGGCCUGCUCAAGCCUAAGCCCUUUAGAUAAGUUUGAUCAAGAUUCAAAAUCCUGACAGCAAAACUUGAUCAAAAUAUUUAAGCCAUUAAUCGGAUCAAACUUCACAAGGAUUUCAUUGAAAGCCUAGCCAGUCCAAAAUAACCUGUAUACAAUGGUUUAAAAUCUGCCAUCCCAGCCAAUAGUGUCCAAGAUUAGCCAAUUUGACCCCAAACCUUCAGCUUUUGAGGCAAAGUGAUUCUAACUCAAAGAUCAUUUGGAACUGUCAAGGAGUUUGGCGUUGCAUAUCCUAGUUGAUUCCAGCCAAUUACAACCAAUCCUAAGCUUGAAUCAAUUCCAGGAGAUUUCACCAGAGACCAUUGGCCCAACCGAUCUCAACCACACAGAUUCCCAGUCUCAUGAUGAUUCAUUUUGAUUGACACUUGAGAAGAUCGCACCAAUAAAAUUUAAUGAUAACGAAAAGGUGCCCCACCAGCCAUCAGCAAAAAUUGCACUUCUCAUCUGUUACAUAUCAUGGUAGGAUUCCAUGUGAAACCAUUUUACGAGCUGGACAAAUCUAACAGGUACAAGGGACCAUGAUAUGCACAUUGGAGAAGCCAGAUGGAGAAGAAACCGAUUGGAAUUUAAUUGAUAAAAAUAUCUUUUAACUAGAUUUUCCAGACCUAUCCUUUUGCAGCUUUAAUCCUAAGGCUGCAUCAAUAUAUCCAACAAGGUCGCUAAUUAUAUGAGAAAUGCAUGUGCAUGUAUUGAUAAAAUAAGCAACAACUUCAGACCCUGUCAAGGACGUCUGAAAAACCAUUUUGUUGGUAAAAAUCUUCAACUCGACCCCACAUCAGACAAUAUUAAAUCAUCAACAAAUGUAAGUCCCUCAAGAAGCACAUAACCAUUUGAUGAAAUUGUUGCAUUUUUAUUGGCGAUUCAGUGGACCACAAACCGUGAUCACGAUCAACCUAGUAAACCAAUUGCUCACUCAGAAGUGUGCUGGGUAAUAGCGUCACUUGUUUGUUUCACCUGCGCAUGCAGAUCAUAACCUCGAGAUUAAUUGGUUCAAGGAAACAUUUACAUCAACUUUAUUUAAUUGGGUGGACAAGUAGCCUUGAUCAGAAGACAUCAGAGGAUCGGUCUUCUUUUACACACAGAAAUCGUGUCAUCAUCGGUGGGAUUGAGUAAUGGGAACGUCUCUCAGCCCAAAUACUGUUUUUGCAAGCACUUACUAGAUCACAAUCAUACUGCGUCACCAUAACAGGACAACAUCCUCCUACGCCACAUGAUAGGAUCAAGAAACUUGUCUUUUGACAAUCUAUUUCACAGAAAAGAUCAAAACUUUGUGAUUUAUAUGAGUUCAAGUACAUCAGGUCACCUCGAGGACAUUGGCGCAGAUGACCGCGGCAAUUUCCUUCGCGGCGUGAAGACUCUCUCCGGCAAUAAUGGUCAGAUUGGUGAUGAUAGGCUUUGAAUUGAAAGUUAGUUCGGCAAGGGCCGUCCUGUACUGUGACACGAGCUCUUGAUGCGAUCCUACUGGCGCAGCAGCAUCGUCCCUUUCCUGCCUCUCGCGAGCCCUAGGCAACCUAGAAACCAACGGCUGGUUACCGGCCCUGGCUGGAGGGAUCAGGCGGUCCCGGUCGAAGGCGGCGCGGUCCCUCACCACCGCGUCCUCCGCCACCAAUCGAGGCCGCUUCGAGCCAGGCUCUCGGGAGCGAUCCAUGGCGGAUCUGCGGGAGCUCUCCAUCUCCAUCCCCCGGGAGAUUCCGGCAGCCCUAUCCUUAUCGCUUAGUGGUCGCGGGACUCCAAGGAAGGAGCUGGGCCGCGCGAUUCAGGGAUCCAAGAGACCUACAAAUAAGAGAAUUGGGGCGGAAACGAAACCCUAGAUCGAUCGAGAGCUGGAGUUCGCAAAGGGCCGCGGGAGGGCGCGACAGCAGCAGGUGCGGCUCGCAUGAGUCGUGGUUAAUUUGUAAUUGCACCGGAACGGUGGAGGGUAGUUUCGACUUUCGAGAAUCGAAGCGGAAAUAUAUGUUGGACGAGAGACUUGCCGAUGUUUUAGAUGACGUAUCAAUUUCGUUUGGCCUAAAUCAUAAGUUAAAAUACUUAGAUUGAAGUUAAUAAUAAUAUUAUUUCUUUAAUGUUGUUGACUAUGAAGUUGUCACGACUUGGUUUGAUCAUGAAUGUAUAAACUCGUUUAAGGGGUCCAUGGGGUUCACGAGAGGAGAUAAGAGCAGGAAGCGGACCUGGUUAGCAUGAUCUACUUGCUCACUAGACGCAGAUUUGGUAUCAUCUUUAGGUGUGUCAUAGCCUUACCAAGACCUCUACACAAGCGAUCAAUGUCGAGGGGAUAUUCUCGACCCAACCCCUCUAAUGGUAAAGUUAGUUAAGAGGUGAAAAUAGUAAAAAUGGUUUCCACUUUAGACUUUGGGGUUGAUUUUUAUACUUGAGUGAUCGAUGGAGUGCAGCCUAGUGUGUGAGCCUUCUCAAAAUCAUGGUUUGGGGGGAUGACAGGUUGUUUGUGAUAAAUGACCUAAACGAAGAGGAAAAUCGAGGGGAUGAGCCUCGUUGCUAAGGAUUAAUGCAUCAUGCAGUUGGCUCAUGUGACCCUCCCAAAGAUUGGAGAUGGACAGAGGCUGGAGGAUCAUGUUGCUACUAAUGAUCGUAAGGGAGAGGCGCGAGUUCUUUCACGCAUGUCAUCACCCAAAUGACAGUCCAUAGUUAGAUGAAUGAAAAAAAUAAUAUUUACAUUAUUAUUUUUCUAGUAUAAUCACCUGACCCUUACAAGUAAUAUUAAUUUUAUCGUGAUGUUAUAAAUCAGAUGUGAGUAAAUAGCAUUAGAACCAUACCUUUACGUCUAAUUUAGCUAUAAAAUCGAGUUGGUAGCUCAUGAGAAAGUCAACAGCGACUAAGUUAAUCGAAGGAAACAAAAACAAAACUCCUUUUCUUUUCUUUUUGGCUAAAUUAGUUGAGACAAUAUAUUUUAUUGUGAUGACUAAGUCAAUCAAAAUUAGGCCACGACGCAUGUCGAAAGAUAUCCCGGCGAUCCAUUUAUUCGAAGGCCAGCUAUCAUGAGACGUCAACACAUGGAGUUGCAAGUCUUGCAAGACGAUAACUUCAAUCUCUUUGGCAGGAGAUCCUAAAGAAUUAGCACAGUGGAUGAAAACAAGUUACGAUUAGGGUGGGGAUCAAAGCUUUGAACUCCAUGCACUCUUGUGAUCUAUAUAUAAAUGAUAGUGCUCUAUUCGUGUGAAGCACGUAUGCCAUUUUCCUUCAUCUCCUCUCCACCACAAGUUUACACUCUGCAGUGGAGGAGGAACAUGACGACGCGGAAUCCAGAAUGGCUUCAAGCUGAAGAGGAGAAGGAUUAAAUGGUAAGCCGCAUUUGAUGAUGCCAUGGGGUUUCUUCAUGCCUCGGCUUGCUUCUGUUCUCCUCUUCAAGCUGAAGAGGAGAACGAACAAGAUCACCUGAUACCUUGUCGACGCCACCUUAGCUUACACUCCAGGCUUUUCUGCAUUAUAUUCCGCAAGGUGAUAUCAGAUAGCCAAAAACACCGAGCAGUCGUUGACUUGGUGAUCUUACAGUGAAGUCGUAAGAGAACAAGGAGGAAUGCAGCAGCUUUCACUGUUCUGCCGACCAUUCAGCGGCCAUCAGUUAGAGACAAACUACAUCGAAGCAAGCACAUGCAGAAAGGGACCGACCCCGCAACUUGGAUUCGCACAAAAGCUUCGCGUGCCUGGCGAUCAUGAAAGCUGACGAGGGAUCCAAGAGACAAGAUGUGCGUCUUCAUCUUAUGAUGAUGCCUGCAACUCGGCUCCACCUACAUUCCUUCCUCUGCCUGCAUUCACCUUCCUUCCCACGGUCUCACCAGCUUGGUGAUGAGUUAGUUCUUAACGAAGAGGGGAUGUGGACUUGUGCUUUUAUUAAGUAGUACGACAGUAAAGUAUGAGAUUAAGCGUCCAAAUCCGGUUCUAAAUUAGCAGCAUGACAGGAAUAUUGGAUGUUGCAGUUGAUAUGAGGACAGAGGAAUGCCACCAAUCAUUUCGGCCACAUAAACAGUGCCUCCAUACUUGCAGCGUGUUGUCCCCUUAUGCAGCAACCAAGAUGUACACUUAUUGAAUGCUUAUAUGCAGCAUCGGGUGGCCCUCUCUCUCGCUCUCUCUCUCUCUCUCAUCUGCACAAGUAUUACAUUACCCAUGACAAUAAACCAUACAUGUAUUUGUCUCCUAUGUUAAGACAUACCACAUGAACAAGGAAGGAAUCUACAACUUAGCAACGGAGUACUGCCAACCAUAUGUAUAUUAUGUGGUCGGGCCUUGAUUGGUUCAUGCGAGUCUCAAAACUAUAACGCGAGGAAAUGGACGAGGAUAAUUCUCUUCCAUGUUGUGUUUGCAUGCACCAACUUGAUUUGUUUUCCUUGCUUCUACAACACAGCCUUUGAGGAGCAGAGAUAACGAGGACCAUGAUUCCUGCAAGAUAAAACCACAGCAGUCAGUCCACUGUAACAUGUGGCGUUGGCUGUCUUCCAAGGCCCCGCCCAUAUAUAGCUAGCUAGCUAUUUCAACCUCCUCUUCUGCUCUUGGUUGGAGGUGGAGAGGAGCGACAUCCCCUUUUCCUCUUGUUCUUCUCGUUACGAUGAGAGAUCUUGCCGGUUGCUUUGCGAGCCAAGCUGCCAGAGUCGCGGAAGCUUCAUGCUCUGCCAACCGGAACUCGUCGUUGGUCGCGGAGCGGCCGAUUCAAAAUGCCGUCACUUGUUUCUACAGAACCGUGCUCUCCACCCACAAGGAGCUGCUCACCAGGGUGGUCUGGUCCAAGCAUCAUCAAGCCGCCGCUUCCCUCUCCGUCACGAUCCAGGACUCCACGUCGAAUGCCGUGGAAUCCCAGCUCCCGCAGAAGACGAAAGGCAGCCGAUGCUUCGUCGCCGGCGACUCGGUCAUCGGCCUCCACUGGGAUAUCUCCGCCGCCAAGUACGAGAUGGGGCCUGAGCCUGCCAAGGAUUUCUACGUCGUCAUGAUCGCCGACGCCGAGUUCGCCCUGUUGCUCGGGGACAUGUGCGGGGUGUUCAUGAAGAAGGACGAGGGCGCACUGCCGGUGGCGGAGUUCUCGGUGGUGAGCAGGAGGGAGCAGGUGCGCGGCGCCACUCUCUACUCGACCAGGACGCAGUUCGGGGGCGACGGGAAGAAGCACGAGAUCUUGAUCCGAUGCAAAGGAGACGAGUUGGACGGGGACGACUCGGAGCUGCACGUCGCGGUGGACAAGAAGAUAUUGGUGAGCGUGAAGAGGCUGAAGUGGAACUUCCGGGGGAACCAGACGAUAUUCGUGGACGGGUCGACCAUCGACGUGAUGUGGGACGUUCAUGGCUGGUGGUUCUGCGACUCCUCCCACUGCGCGCUGUUCAUGUUCCGGACGAGGAACUCGCCGCAGCGCAGGCUGUGGUCGGAGGAAGAACUGGCGCAGGGGACGAUGUCUGGGUUCUCUCUACUGAUCCAAGCCUUCAAGAGCCAGUGAAGAAGCUGACGAGUGAUUUGGCCGAUCGCUUCUCCGUUCAUGUAAUAUGUCCUCCUCUUCCUUUCAGUCUUGCCUCGGAGCACUCGCUGCUCCGUCGAGAUUUAAUAUGUUUUGAAGGAUAAAACAUAACCAAAGAGUUAAAAUGUAUUUACAUCCACAAUCUCGAUCGUGUCUUUGUGUUCUUUGAUAGGUUGAUUGGAAGCAAUUGUCUUGACAUUGAGAAUUUGGAAGAAAUCUUGAUAAAUGUAGUGUCAAUGAUAAUAAAAUUGGAGCUCCUGAAAACCACCAGCCACAGUCUGGACAUCGAAUCAAAACUAGAAAAAUGAAUCCAUCAAGAUUUGUAUCGAAUCUAAAGAAACCUCUCUAAAUCUAGCAUUACUCCAGCAUGAACAAAAAUUUCAACACAAAAACUAGCAUUACUCCCAAGCUCAACAAAAUAUCAUCACCCAGAGUUUUGUGGAACUAUUACUUCUGGUGCACACUUGUGUAUUACAUGACAACAGGGCAAGCACAUCCCAUUCCAAACCAUUGAGAAACAUGAGAUAUAAUACCACAGAGCCUUAUGACAGAUUUAUUUGCUGUGAUCAUGUUGCAACUUCACCAGUAUAAUACUGUCCUAGUGUGUGUAAGCUAUGGACAAAAAGUUUUCCUUAGAAAACUUCUACAAACAUUUCUUCCCAUUAUUUGCUAACUCUUCUACUAAAACAGAGAUCGCUUUCUAGUUUUCUCACAUCUCAUACAGCAGAAAACAAAAUGGGAAACCAUUUCCCUUUCACAAAUUGUUGUUUAGUUUUCAUGGAAUUAAUUUUUCCAUGAAAAUCCUUUUCCACCAUAUUUCUUGGAACCAAAUGGAUCUCAUCAUAAACAUACAAUUCAAUGUCAUAGAAAUGAAUAAACUACAAUAAGAUUGACUAAACUAUUUCUGUAGAAAUACGAAAAGCUAUCGAGGAUAAUUAAAAAUGUUAAGCAUCGUGUUACAAACAAAGCACUUCCCAUAAAAGAUUGCCAAAUUUCAUCUUUUCAACAUGAUAUUAUGAUGAUUAUUAAUAACCUUAUAUCAGCUGUGCAAAUCCAGGCACCAUCUGUAUCAGCUAAUUUUAAAUCUGAUAAGCAGUGUAAGAUUAACAGGCACAAGGAAGAAUGAAGAUGUGUCAUUCGGUGGAUCCAUCUAUGGUGCACAAGAACUAUUUUAUUCAAAAAGGGUAGGAAUGUCAAAUUGGCCAAAAAUAUCUAAGAGGCAAAAUUAUGUUAGGCUAUUCAUGGAGAAAAAGCCUUUUACACAUUCUUCUAAACAGAAAUAGGACUUUCCAGCAUUUUAGCUUUUGGCCUCCGCAAUGACUCUAAUUUGGUACUUUUUCCAGCCUUAGGACACACACAAUGUAAAUAUCUCAGCGUUCCUCUAAAUAUGACAACUCAACAGAAUAGAGAAUGCCUUGAUAGAUGGCAGGCCCAUACAAGAAUUCGUACAAACAUGGCUUGAUUAUGCAUAAUAAGGGCAGACUGGAAAAAGGACAUGCAAACCAGCUGUUUGUACAAAGUAGAUGGCCAUUACUCUUCUGAUAAACUACACUUUGUGUAAUUACCCAUAAGAACAAGAAAGAACAGAAACAUAGCACCAGAAUUCGGCUGUUCAUCGAAUUUUGACAUCUAUAUUGAACAAAAAAGAAUUGCAUUACUCUUUGAUUCACUUAGUAUAUCAAUGUCAAAUAUUUCACUCGGAAAGAAAAAAUAUCAUGACACAAAACAUUUGCAUUAAAGGAAAUGAAACGUUUUGAUCGAUACAAAAAUUGCAAGUAUCAUGUAGAGAGGUACAAAUAUAUAGCUCAAGCUCAGCAUGUUGACGCACGCAGCUUACAGCUUGGUGAACUAAAGCAAAAUAAAGCAUCCACAUUUUUCAAGUAGAUAUAAUAAUUACUUUUGACUAUUAUUUGCAACAAGAAUAUCAAUGCAUUUUGCAGUUUUGUCUCUGGAUGUUGCACAUGUACCAUCUACCUUCAGAGGCAUCUCAAGAUCCACCAUAGAGAAGAUUAAUACUAAUACUUUGAUACUGCGAUUUAGCAUGCAGUUAUAACACAAAGAGAUGCAUGGAUGGAGUAAUGGGUAACUGUGUGUAGACAACUAAGAGUAAAUGAUAAAAUCGUCAUGGUUAAUCUAAGAUGGAAAAAGAGAAAAAAAGCAAUGACAGACAACAUGAGAAAACAAAUAUAAUUUUCUUUUAUAGGAUGUCCCAUGGUGAUGCGUCUUACUCAAAAAUGCAUUAGGUAUGGCUUCAUAUACGAGUCGAGAACAAGAACAAAAAUCUGUCCAACCUAUCCAACAUCUUAAAAUGAAUAAGUCACCACAUUCCUUCAAGCCAGAAAAAUCUUUCCAUUGGCCGGGAAAGACCAUGAUGCCCUUAUGGUUCCACAUUCGGUAGAUUAGAUUAGUCCAUUAGAUUAGAGGAGUCACCAUAAAUUAUUUUGGCUUUGUGAGAUUGGACCACAUAACCGAAGCAUAUUCUAUUUAUGUUACUAUUCUAGUAGCUGUGUGCGAUCAGAUUGUGAUAAUUUAAAAUUACAGCAGACAAAUAUUGGCAUAAAAAUGUUGUGAUCCCUCGAGCAUCAUGAAGGAGAGGUAAGGGUAGGUUAUGAUCAUCACAAAAUCUACUUCAUAAAUGUGAUCAUCAUUAUCGUACAUGAAAGACACCAGCUUUAAUCAGAGAGUAACAAGCACCUUGAGAAGUAACAAAAAUGUGCUCUUACAUAGUAUUCCAGAAAAGACAUCCGGUUUCCAAGCUAUCUUGUUGAUGUCAAAGUUGAUUUCCUUUUCCGUAAUUAUUGGUUUUCAACUAUUUAAGAUUAUUUAGAGAGCCAAGAAGCAAAAACUGACUUAUAAUUGUCCUCCAGAAGAACUAAGAUAGCAGAUGAUUAAUCAUCUUUCCACACGAAGAUAUAUAUUAAAAAGAAUUUGUUUCUCUCCCACAUAAAUUUCUCAUGUGAUCAGCUGCAAGAGAGGUUCAUUGUCAUCUUUGGCAGAUUAACACAAUGAAAGAAGAUUGAGUUACAUAGUCCUAAGUAUAAAUCAUGUUUCAGCAAAGAUGUAGUUGCUGAAACAUGCCCUUCAUCAUCAUCGAACAGAACAUAAGGGAAAACGUUGUAAGGUGUUACAAAAGAAUAACUUCCUGCCCAUGUACCUUUCCAGAAGAAACCCUAAACAAAAUGGAUACUAAAAACUUCAAUUUAUCAUGAAACAUUGCGUCUGGGAUCUGAAGCUGAAACUUACACUACAACAAGUUUAAACAUCAUCAAUUGAAACAACAGGAAGUGCAGCGGACCUGAGAUUUGAUGGAGUGAUGGUCCCAUGGAUGGCCUCCCUCACCCUCUGGUUUCUAUCCCGGCUUUGAGAUUAAGCUGAUCCAAGAAUUCCAGCGGCUUUGCUGUUUGCUUCUUGGUCCUCCUAAUGUUGGGGCUAGCCAAGCUCCCAUGAGCAAACCCAUACAUCCUCAGCACCUGGUUGUCCGCAAAAUUGAAAGCUCUCUCCAUGCUACUCAAGCACCUCUCCACAGGAUAGUCCCCAUAGCUACCACAUGGCUUGCAGCCGACGAAGUGCGUCACGAAUGGCCACCUCUCGUCCCCGAGGCCGGGAUGAUGCUUCUCCAUCAUCUCCUCGUACCUGUCCACCAAUCCAGCCCAGUAACCAUGGAGGUAAUACGAGUUCUCAAUGUAGACCUUGUCGCCCCACUUGUCCUGCUGCGACAACAGCAAGUAUAUGAGCGCCGACUGAUCAUCCGCCUCGAAUGCAGGCCGGCCCUUCAGGUUCGCCGUCAGUAUCUUGCCGGCCUCGUCGCGAAUGGGGCCUUUAGGCCCCAUCGGCGCCCAAGCAUCGAGCAGAUCAAGGAUCCACUGGCAAUUGCGCAGCAGGAAGCUCCCGGUGUUGAGGCCGAUCCAGGAGUGCUUCUCGAAAAUGAGAUCUGGAUAGCCGUGGACGACGAGAUUAUGGGCGGCGUAGCGGUCGAGAGGGAUCUCGAAGGCCAUGUCCGUGAAGAGCGCAUCGCUGUCCAUCCACCAGAUCCACUCCACCUCCGGGUGCGACAGCAUCAGCCGCCGGAUAAGCGGGAGCUUCGCCCAGUACCCGGCGAGUUCCCGGUCUAGGUGCGCCAUGUUGUAGACGAUCUCGAUCCCGUGGAGGCGGCAGUAGUCGAUCUUGUUCUUGGUCGCCUUCAGGAGGUAGUGAUCGCCGAUGGAGCUGUCGCAGGGGUUGGGCGGCGAGCCGGUGACGAGGAGGAUCCGCGGCUUGCCUCCGGGGGUCCGACUCGGGAACCCCGGGUUCUCGCCCAGCCACCGCCGCCGCUGCUCGUCCCAGUCGGAGAUCCUGGGGCCGAGGGUGUAAUUCUCGGCGGCCGCGACGACGGCAGCAGAGGUGUAGUUCAGGGAGGCGGCGGUGGAGUUGAAGCCGAAGGGGAUCUGGUCCGCGUCGUCGGGAUCGGAGUCGGAGCGGAUCUCGCGGAGGAUGCGGUCGAUAUCCUCGACGACCUUCUGGUCGGCGGCGGCCGCGUCUCCGCCGGCGCCCGCGAGGCUGCCGAUGCCGACGGUGCCGCGGAGGACGAGGAUGGUGACGACGCCGCAGAAGACGGUGAUCUUGAGGUUGUUGAAGGUCUUGCGGAUCUGGCGGCGACGGGGGAGGCGGGAGCGGGUGGCGGCGUCGGGGCGGUCCCUCGCCGACGUCGGUUUGAGGCCGGCCGCCUCCUGGCCCAUCACGGCAACUCUUGCGGUCGGAAGGGGGACUCCGAGUUCAGUCUCGUCUCCGCUCGCCUUUUGUCGGAGAGCGAAAGACUCCGCGUGAGGGAUGUAUUUGUAAUUACGAUCACCGGCGCAGAUCCUGUGCGUCGGCCAAUGCACCGAAGAUAGAACCACGAUUAUUAGUGGGAACUUUUAAUGGGUCCCACAGAUCCUGACCAGUCACGACGUCAUAUUCCUUGGCUGGUGCGUCGGCACGGACAGAUGAUGGAUCCGAUUCGACAUUCUUGCUUGACUUCCCUUGUGGUCUCCCACGACGGAGGAUGUAUGGAUCAGUCAACAAAGCUGUUGGGUGAGAAAUACAUCGUGCGAAGCAGUAGAAACAGAGGAGUGUAUAGUUUAUUGGCUGACAGCUUGAACGAACAGUAGCGGACCAAAUAAACUAUUGACAAUGACGAAUAUGUCCUUUAGACGGUCAGUGGCAGUUAGUUCUUGAAGCAUCAUCAUGGAUUGUAGCAUCCACAUUUGAUAAUGGUCAAUCUCAAAUGCAGGCUAUGUUUUAGUUAGCGUAUGAAUUAUAAUCGACUCAAUUUCUGAUACCCUUUUGUCACUAUAGUUGAGACGUUAUGCCUAAGGAAGCCUCAUUCCCCAUCCGGCAAAAGGACUAAUAUACGUCCUCAUCGGACAAAUUGGUUCUUCAACCAAGUGUUGGGUAGGCUAGACGGUCAAGUUAUGUUUCUAAUACUAUCUAUCUACUACAUCAAAGAAAAGGUCGGUUGAGGUUUGAGGACAAAUUGGGUACGGAAGAGGAUUGGAUUUGGAGGAUCGCACAAAGUAAUGCUCUACACCACCACCCAAACCAAGAAGCCAAAGUGUUGGCGGAUUAACCUCGAAUAUUCUAACCAAGCUUUGGAGCAUAACAUUAAGGGAGCAACUCCACAUCGAGGAACCACUAUCGGUCGGGACCAUUGAAGCUCAAAAGGCUUCAUCCAACUGGAACAAAGGCCUCGUCCGAAACGGGGCUCCACAUUUCCGAGUCAUCAUCAUCGGUCAUGUGUUGACCGAUCGAUCAUCUGGGUUCAUAGGAGUCAUGUGACUUAAGGACAAACUAGAAAGAUAGAUACGACGAUGAUGCCUUGGACGAUAAUUUUUUUGCAUCCUCUAAUAAAAAAAGAAAGAAAGAAAUAUAAACACUUUUACAUGUCAGGCUAAAGAUUUUUUUUUUUUGUAAGUUGUGGAUGUCCAAGUUCGAGCCCCCUCAGGAUUCACGGCCGGCAAGUUUCUAGGUGGAUGAUGUUUUUGGUAAGUUGUGAAUGUCUCAAGUUCGAGACCCCUUAGGAAGGAUUCACGGCCUCUAAAGUUCCUACCAGGAAAAUUUUUUUGGUAAGUUGUGGAUGUCCCAAGUUCGAGACCCCAUAGGAUUCAGAUUCACGGUCGGUAAGUUCCUAGUUGGACUCAUGAUGCAAAGGUGAGCGGAUUGUUUAACUGGGGCUCUCCAAGUUCACACAUUCUUGGCCUCCUCUAUCCUUAGAGUUACUGGUUUAGACCAGAAUCACUUAGACAAUGAUCAAGUAAAACCCAAAAAAGAAAACAUUUGAACGGGGAGAUGAUACCUAGGAGAGGAGCAAACAAGCAGAGCAGACUCGAUCAACAAACCCUGCCUUCUACCAUUAAGCAAUCAUCUAAAAAGAAUCAAGUUCUUACCAAGUAUGUGAAGGGUAGUCCCAUCAUACUGUUGUCUUUGGUAUCAAGAGCUACAGGAUCCACAUUUCACCUACAUAAAUAAGAAAUGCAAUGAGAAAUGUAGAAGAUGUCUUGUCGUUGAUGUCAAGAAAUACAUAAUCCAAAUUUCACCCACAAAAAUAGUAGAUACAAUGAAAAAUGUAGGUGAUGAGACUAGCAGGUUUCCAGAAAUCUAUCAGCAGAAUCAUGGAGUAUUAAUAUAGAAACAAAAGCACAAUAUUACCAGUCACAGGCAUGCGAUACAACUUCACUCCUUUCUGUUGGUAUGGAUCUUGCAGAUGUUGAACCUUACAAUGAGAGAAUUCAGCAAAGUUUUAAUUGGCAGGCCUGAACUUUCAUUUGCUAUAGAUCACACAGAUUAAGAUUAUCUUGGGUGGCAGCAGCCUCUCAAUAAGAUGAUAUAACACAAAUAUUCUUUUGAGUCCAGAUAUUAGCUGCGAUUACUCCGGUUACAUAACCAGUCAAUUGGAAGUUUGAGGAAGUUUACACUAGUACACUACCAGUGAUAUUUAUAGCCAUGACUGGCCUGACAAAGUUUCAAAUUCAUUUCAAAGAAAUGUUUAACACAAUGUAUGAGGACAGUCAGUAAUCUAUGGACAACCAAUAACUUUAGAAGGCACAGACAACCCAUAACUUGAUCAUGAAAACUAGACCACAUGAUAGAGACCUCUGCGGACUUUUAUCAGAUUUGCUGUUUGCUCUCAUAGGCUUGAAUUCUCUGCUCAAGCUGCACAAGAAAUACAUAAGUAAGUUUGCUGGCUCUACAAAUGGCAUGCUUUAACAUAAUCUGAUUUCUAAUGUUGACAGCAAUUACAAAUACCACUAUCGCCUCAACUUUUUAUGUUCCAAACGAUCUAGGAUGGUAAAUAGCACUAUCACCUAAAAUUUUAAUGUUCCAAACAAUGUAGGAUGGCAUUGAUAACAAUAUUUGGAACAUCCUGUUACAUCUUAGUUACUUAAUUUGUGCAGCAGCAAUUGCAAUAACAAUAAACAACAUUCUCUUGAUGGAAGAUCAUGGUUACUCUAUCAUAAAGUGUGUCCUCAAUGAUACUAGCUUAUAAAACAGACACGAAGAAUAACUUUUCAUUGGCUUGAUUAACCUAUUCCUCCAACUUGUCUAAAAAAUCUAGUAAAGCAGUAAGCUCGUGAAGAUGACAGAUUCACAAAACCACCUUACACUGUGAAUGUGAAAUAGGAAUCACAAGACGGGCCACGGUCAUCAUAUAUGGAUUUAACUUGUGGUCAAAUGAGACCCUCAUAUAACACACAGGAGCAAGGUCACAACUAGCAAAUCAUCUGGACCAUCUAUCCAAUGAUCACUACUCAUGGUAGCCCACCACAAAUAGGCAAGCAGCAUGCCAACAGCAACUAAUUGAACAACCUCAAAGUCACAUCAAGUAACAUCACUAUUACGGAUACACCGACAAAUCAUAUUAAUCUGAUCCAACCCAAGCUAACAGAUUUAGUUUUAUAUAAUUAAGUCAUCUACUUCCCUAAAUUAAUUGCAUGAUUACAUCCAACUUUAUGAUAUUUCAACACUUUCAGUAAUCAAGUAGGAUUUAUUUGGGUGAUUUCAAGUCUAAUUAACUUUGAUUUAUUGCACCAUAUUAAACCAAGUAAUAUGGAAAUCAACCACUUUCAGGUUCAAUUUCAUAAAACCAAUUUAAUAUGCUAAUUUAAGCUCUAACAGACCACACUGGGGGUUUAGACAAAAAUGAUCCCAACUUAUUAAAAUUAACUCAGCAUUCUAUGAUUUGAGUUAUAUACUUUAUCAUUUUCUCAGACUUAUGAUUCUUUAUGAAUUUUAAUUGAGAAUGGUCAUUAUGCCUUUUUCCCUUCCUCUAUAUAGACCCUUUCUCUCCUUCCACCCUCCCUUUUUUUGGCUCCCUUGGAGUCAUCAUACACCCACACUGACCAGCAACCUGCCCCUCUGUUUGACCCUCUUCAGUGUGAGGAUUCACAUCCAGUAACUGAGGCAACAAAUAGAAGAUUAUGCAAAAGUAGGUUUAGCUGGUUAAGAACAUAUAGAGAAUGUCGGCUCGCCUAUAGCAGGUUAAUACUUCGACUGUUGAUAACAAGGUCUAAGAAUCCAAUCCCAUGCUCACAACUUACCAUUUGUUAGGAAAAAAGAAAAAGCAAAAGUAGCUAAGAAGAUGUCCUAUUUUAUUGAGGCAUUUGACAGGAUAAUCUCCUGGUGAAGUGCCAAAGAAAUUCAAAAACUGAAGCUAAUGUGUAAUAAAUGUUUAGCAGCAAAAUCAUUCAUAUGCAAAUUUUGUUUCCUGAUAAACAAAUGCAUGUUUCUGUUUGUCAUAUAUUCACCAUGGUAUCAAGGAUCACCCUCUCAUGAAUUUAAAUAGAUAUCAUAUAUCAUUAUGCGAUAGAGAUUAGAGCUUCUAACCAUCUUCAUCAGACAUUCUAUGAUUAAGUAUCACUUCAUUAGUAGAAAAACGUCAAUAUUUUAAUUUUAGCAACAUAGUUUUGUUCUUCUGAUAUCUUAAGAAUAUAAGUAUAUAAAUCUUUUAGAUGGAACGGCACUGACAAAAAAAUUAAUAAAUAUGGUAUGAGCGAAAGGUCCAUUAUUCAACACUUAUUCAUGCCACACUUAUAAAACAUGAUAUGUCCCCAAUCAAUUCAAUUCACAUGUCUUGGGUAUGAGUCAAUCUAUCUUCCACAUGCAAGUGUUAAGAAUAUCAGUUAGAGCUUUCAGCAGAAUAUCUAUGAUCAGAACUUUAAGAAGAUAUGAAAGUCUCAGUUGAAUAUGUUUGGAUUCAGCAGAACUUAAGAGUGUUUUGAGACAAGUGAUAUGGUACCCUGCUUAAGGUGAUUCACCAAUUGAUCAACUAAGAGGAAGAUAUUGCAAUAAACAAAUAAUCAAGCCAAGUUCCACAAGAUCCAGAGAACUAUUUCCAUAGCAUUUUCAAUCAAACAAAAAGAAAUCUACCUGCAACAUGGUGUCAAAUUUGCCCCGCAGAAGAUAGUAUUCAUGCUUGACCACAUUUAAGGCGCGGAGACACCUGAAAAAAUAAAUACCUUUCUCACCAUUAGGUACAAGUCAAACACGAGCCACGGGAGACCUAUGACAAAACCUUCAACUAGUAUACGGAAAGAAGAAAGACAAUAGUUGCACUCAAAUCAAUGAUUAAACUAAUAUUCAUUGCCGUUAAAGUAUGUCAGUGUUUAUAACUCUUUUUGAGAAGAGGAUUGCAGACAUCAAUAAAAAGCAUGAAUACAGGUGACUUCUAAAUGAUUUAGACAUUUGUGAAUGCAUAUUUUGAGCAAGAAUACUAACCCUUCUUUGUUAUGCUCCUCGCAAAAUUGUCGAAAUUGAACACAGGCCAAUUUCACAUGUUGUGCACCAACACUGCAAAACAAGAGACCCAUCAAAGAAAGAAAUAAAUGAGGUUCUCAAAAGAGGCAAAAGUCCCAAUAGUUUCCUAUAUUAGGUAACUGUUUACUUCAAAUUAGAGGUACACAGUUCCUAGAAAUUUAUUGCAGUGCAAUAAGUACAAUAUUCCUUAAGAAGAUUAUCAUGAUUCAUGAACAAUUGAACAUGGCAAAGUAAACCAUCUUACAAUUCAAAUAUGCAGGUGAACUCUUUAUGUAAAGUAACAUGUUUGUAUGUCAAGGUUCUCUAACCAAGAAGCAUUGGCAUGGUCAUGAUACAAUAUGAGGAUGCCUACAUUGCAAAUCUUAGAAAAGUAGGACAUUACGAUAUGGUCUCACCAUACUUGCGAUGUAUAACUUUGUAUAACUUUGUAUAUGGAGAUAUAUUCUGUCCAAUUUAGACAAUCCUUAAUCAUAAUAUAUGUAACUUAUGAGGCGCACAAGGAAUCAGACAAAGAACAGUCAUUCACAGAAAAUACUUGAAGAACUUAUACUAAAUAUUGAGGAUUUUUGCAUUCAUGAUAACUCAAAAUAAUUCCAAGAUGCAUACAUGUUGUCAAUAUUUAAACACAGAGAAACCAUGAGUUAUGAUAAAGGAGGUCAAGCCUUUAUCCUAGUGCAUUUUCAGCAUUAGGAACAUGUCAUGAUGGAUCAGGUAUCACUGUUCAACAUGGACAUCACAAGACAUUAUUUUAAAAUACUUGUUCCCAUAUUUCUUUCAUGCAUGCUAAGAAUAGGUUAUGUUUCUGAAAUAAUUCCCUGGUAAUCAGCUCUCGUUUGAUAACUAUCUUUCUAAGUUCACUACACCGAAAGCUUAUGAAGUUUGAUUAACCAUCUUGAAAACAAAGCUCAGGUACCAACUAUAAGUUGAUACUUUUCAAAAUAUUUAAAUAGGGUUUUGGUCUCUUUUGUUCUAAAAUCACAAGAAUAAAGAGGCAACAUAAUUUAUUUAAGGGAACUUUUAGUCCCAUAUGGGAAAGAAGAAUAAAGGAAAACUCCUACAGUUCUUUCUGCAUGUAUGACAUGGGGAAACUUGACAUGCAAAGCUUUAUAGGGAAGUUCAUCAGCGGGGCUGUGCAUGUGCUGAUGCACAUGGCAUGUGUUGUAUGGUGCUGGUGACACAUUAGUAGGCCAAGUACUAGAACAUCACAUGAUUGUCCUGUGUGCGAGUCAGAUCGGAUUUAUUUCACUUUUCCUGUUUGGACAUGUAAUAAGUGAAGUUAAAAAAUAAAUAAAUCAAUGGUUGAUUUCAGACUUCCAACGGUUUCAUGUCCAAAUUUCCAAUGGUUGGAAUUUAAAUUCAUAACUUACAGAAUUACAAUUAGAAGUUACAUCCAAUAUAGAAAGGAACCAUUUAGUUUGCAAAAACCAAUAUCUCACUGAAAAUCCCCUUAACUCCUUCAAAAUCUCUCCUCAUUCAAUCUUCAUUUUCCAUGGAUCUAACUUGCGUACUAUCUAGUUACACAAAGAUAGUGUACUAGUGUUUAACAGCAACUUUUCUUUAUGGUUAUUCCUCAACCGCUCAACGUAUUAAUGUCUACUGAGUCUCUAAUUAGCAGGUAAACAAUUAUAGCUGCUAUGAGUGAUCAAGUCAAUGGCUGAAGAAAGAAACAUCCUCAAGUUGCAAAUUACAUCAUUCUGGAAUGCAAACAGUCAAAGAAACACACAAUAUAAGGAAAAGUACAAUCACCUCGAGCUGCUUCCUUUAAGUUGGUGAACAAAAGCAUCUACCUUUUGAUAAUCAACAACAGCUUGAUCCCUAUAGAAUGAAAAGGCACAUCUAAGCAUCGGCGAACUUUAAAAUAAGUUAUACAAAACCUGAGAAAAAAUCAUCGUCGCUAGAACACACAGCAGUUUCGUCAGCUCUGCCAGUAUUCUUUCUGAAUCUCCACAGAACAAGGUGAUCAAUUCAGCAAUGAAGCCAGGACUACUCUCAUCCUGUAGCAUCUGAAGCUGUUCGAACUGGUCAUCCAACAAGCCCUGCAAAGAAGAGACAUUGUACAGAUUAAAGCGGCUCUUGAACGUCACGCGACUACAAAUCCUCAGACAAUAGACAAGAAAGUGUAAUAAACCAAAUCCUAACCUUGACACAAAAUCUUGGUUAUGGAAACAAACAAAUCGGAAGUCAACUUCAAGUCGAUCUGUAGAUCCAGAACAACGGAGACCACGACACUGAUCAACAAGAACAAAGUACAAAGGUCCGGACGGAGAAUACUUCGGACGGCACACUAAAAUGCAUCAUGAAACCAAACCCUUGCACGAGAUCCGACACGGAAACGACAGAUUUUAUACAAGAAAGCAGAUAUCACAACAAAAAUGGGAUUUCCCCCCUUUCCGAGAGAAGAACGAACCGAAAGCACUAGGGGCGAUUUUGGAGUACCUCGAGGAACAUGGAAUUCACCAAACCGUUGAGCUGCUCCCUCAGCGCCAUCAGAGACAUCGAGACAAAGAAAAGAGGAGAAAGCAAAACCCUAGGGCGAGGAGGAGGAGAGGAGUUAGAACCUGGAGCGCAUUUGCCGCUCGCGAUCGUGGGGAAUCGUCUUGUAACUUCCCAAACAAACAAAGGCCGACAAAGAGAGCAAAACGGAGACGGCCAUUAAAAUAUGUGUAACAGCACCGAGAUGAUGCAUGCGCGAUGCCUACGUUUUCUGUCUUUGUGUGUUUUUAAUGCAUGUGAUGUUAAUAAUAUUAUAAACGCAGGGCAUCUGAUAAAAUAAAGGUUUGAUUCCUUCUGCUCCUCCAAACAACUUUUAUAUAUAUAUAUAUAUAUAUAUAUAUAUACAUAUAUAUAUAUAUAUAUAUACAUAUAUAUAUAUAUAUACAUAUAUAUAUAUAUAUAUACAUAUACAUAUAUAUAUACAUAUAUAUAUAUAUGUAUAUAUAUAUAUAUACAUAUAUAUAUAUAUAUGUAUANNNNNNNNNNNNNNNNNNNNNNNNNNNNNNNNNNNNNNNNNNNNNNNNNNNNNNNNNNNNNNNNNNNNNNNNNNNNNNNNNNNNNNNNNNNNNNNNNNNNNNNNNNNNNNNNNNNNNNNNNNNNNNNNNNNNNNNNNNNNNNNNNNNNNNNNNNNNNNNNNNNNNNNNNNNNNNNNNNNNNNNNNNNNNNNNNNNNNNNNNNNNNNNNNNNNNNNNNNNNNNNNNNNNNNNNNNNNNNNNNNNNNNNNNNNNNNNNNNNNNNNNNNNNNNNNNNNNNNNNNNNNNNNNNNNNNNNNNNNNNNNNNNNNNNNNNNNNNNNNNNNNNNNNNNNNNNNNNNNNNNNNNNNNNNNNNNNNNNNNNNNNNNNNNNNNNNNNNNNNNNNNNNNNNNNNNNNNNNNNNNNNNNNNNNNNNNNNNNNNNNNNNNNNNNNNNNNNNNNNNNNNNNNNNNNNNNNNNNNNNNNNNNNNNNNNNNNNNNNNNNNNNNNNNNNNNNNNNNNNNNNNNNNNNNNNNNNNNNNNNNNNNNNNNNNNNNNNNNNNNNNNNNNNNNNNNNNNNNNNNNNNNNNNNNNNNNNNNNNNNNNNNNNNNNNNNNNNNNNNNNNNNNNNNNNNNNNNNNNNNNNNNNNNNNNNNNNNNNNNNNNNNNNNNNNNNNNNNNNNNNNNNNNNNNNNNNNNNNNNNNNNNNNNNNNNNNNNNNNNNNNNNNNNNNNNNNNNNNNNNNNNNNNNNNNNNNNNNNNNNNNNNNNNNNNNNNNNNNNNNNNNNNNNNNNNNNNNNNNNNNNNNNNNNNNNNNNNNNNNNNNNNNNNNNNNNNNNNNNNNNNNNNNNNNNNNNNNNNNNNNNNNNNNNNNNNNNNNNNNNNNNNNNNNNNNNNNNNNNNNNNNNNNNNNNNNNNNNNNNNNNNNNNNNNNNNNNNNNNNNNNNNNNNNNNNNNNNNNNNNNNNNNNNNNNNNNNNNNNNNNNNNNNNNNNNNNNNNNNNNNNNNNNNNNNNNNNNNNNNNNNNNNNNNNNNNNNNNNNNNNNNNNNNNNNNNNNNNNNNNNNNNNNNNNNNNNNNNNNNNNNNNNNNNNNNNNNNNNNNNNNNNNNNNNNNNNNNNNNNNNNNNNNNNNNNNNNNNNNNNNNNNNNNNNNNNNNNNNNNNNNNNNNNNNNNNNNNNNNNNNNNNNNNNNNNNNNNNNNNNNNNNNNNNNNNNNNNNNNNNNNNNNNNNNNNNNNNNNNNNNNNNNNNNNNNNNNNNNNNNNNNNNNNNNNNNNNNNNNNNNNNNNNNNNNNNNNNNNNNNNNNNNNNNNNNNNNNNNNNNNNNNNNNNNNNNNNNNNNNNNNNNNNNNNNNNNNNNNNNNNNNNNNNNNNNNNNNNNNNNNNNNNNNNNNNNNNNNNNNNNNNNNNNNNNNNNNNNNNNNNNNNNNNNNNNNNNNNNNNNNNNNNNNNNNNNNNNNNNNNNNNNNNNNNNNNNNNNNNNNNNNNNNNNNNNNNNNNNNNNNNNNNNNNNNNNNNNNNNNNNNNNNNNNNNNNNNNNNNNNNNNNNNNNNNNNNNNNNNNNNNNNNNNNNNNNNNNNNNNNNNNNNNNNNNNNNNNNNNNNNNNNNNNNNNNNNNNNNNNNNNNNNNNNNNNNNNNNNNNNNNNNNNNNNNNNNNNNNNNNNNNNNNNNNNNNNNNNNNNNNNNNNNNNNNNNNNNNNNNNNNNNNNNNNNNNNNNNNNNNNNNNNNNNNNNNNNNNNNNNNNNNNNNNNNNNNNNNNNNNNNNNNNNNNNNNNNNNNNNNNNNNNNNNNNNNNNNNNNNNNNNNNNNNNNNNNNNNNNNNNNNNNNNNNNNNNNNNNNNNNNNNNNNNNNNNNNNNNNNNNNNNNNNNNNNNNNNNNNNNNNNNNNNNNNNNNNNNNNNNNNNNNNNNNNNNNNNNNNNNNNNNNNNNNNNNNNNNNNNNNNNNNNNNNNNNNNNNNNNNNNNNNNNNNNNNNNNNNNNNNNNNNNNNNNNNNNNNNNNNNNNNNNNNNNNNNNNNNNNNNNNNNNNNNNNNNNNNNNNNNNNNNNNNNNNNNNNNNNAUAUAUAUAUAUAUAUAUAUAUAUACAUAUAUGUAAAAGAAGUACAAGGGGAUGACUUGGAAAUAAGCCAUUUUUCAGAAAUAUUUUCAUUUAUCUUAUGAUUAUUUUUAAUAUUGUUUAAAAAAAAUACUGUAUAUUGAAUUGAUAUAUUGUCUUAAAAUAUUAUACUAAAAUAUAAAUAUCUGAAAUUUAUGUUGAUAUUUCUGUAUUAUGAAAUAUUCUAUAAAGUCUUAAUAUUUGUAUGUUAAAAUUUGAAUUGUAUUUCUUAAGUUUUACUUUUAACUUAAGAAAUAUUCUAUAGAGUCUUAAUAUUUCUGUAUUUAUAUUUAUUGAACCAGUUUGUUGAACCAAACCUAAACCACAUCAAAGAAAAAUGAUAAGAAGAUUGAAUAGUGACCCCUCACCUUCUGAGGAAUAAAACUGAAAAAGUCCAAAAAAAAAAUGAAAAUGAGAUGUUCUUUGAGAAAGAGCCAAAACUAGUGUUUUCUUUUUCCUGAGAAUUUUCUCUGAAAUAAUUAUGGGUGCAAAAGUUCAUAAAAAAAUCAAUAGCCUCCCUACUAACAUUACAUGGCCAAAUAGAACUUCACAUUAUUUUACUUAUUCCUCUACAGUUUGACAGCCAUUCUAAAAUAUAUACAUGAUAUUGAUGUACCACCCUUGCUCCAAAACCCUCCUAUAAUAUUCACUGGGCCAAAAAGAAAAGGAUCAAGCAAGACCUUUUCUUGUGAAAUGGUACAUGGUAUUGUCAUGACUAUGUUCAUACUUAGUCUACAAAACCGUAGUCUCUAAUGAUAGGCACAGUCAGUUUCAUGACCACAAGAGAAAGAACAGCUUUGACAAUGAAAUUUUGGUGCAAUUAAUGCAUAAUCGUGAGGACUGUGUUGAGCCACCAAGGAAUUACUAAACCUAAAGAAUAAUAUACCCCAUCGGAAUAGGAAUAAGAAUGGCGAUGGUGCACACCUGUGUGCUUGUUCAUCAUGCAGGAGAGUUGGAGCAUGUUCUUCCUUUGAGAAAAGGAGCUUCAAACAAUGUCUACCUUUGAGAAAAGGAGAGUUCGAGCAUGUUUUUUGCUAAGAGAAAACUCCUCCAAACAAUGUCUGCACCAAACAUAUAUAUUCUUCCGUUGGGAGUUCCCAUACCUGUAUGUAUCUCGAUGCACUAGAGUUGGAGUGGUCCAUCUCCCUUCUUUGGAACAUAUGUUCUUGUCAGGACAUUCUUAAUGGAGAUGUUCUUGUCAAACACCUAUGGUUAUUAUUUUACUAUGUUACUGUCACCCCAUCCACAUCCAGAUUUCCCUGUCGAAGGCCAUGAUCAUGUUGCUCCUUUUUUCUUAUGAGAAAAAUGAGCUUAAAACGUUGGGCGAUGUCUGCACCAAACGGUGGCAGUUCCCAUACCUGUAUGUAUCUCAAUGUACCAGAGUUGGGAGUGGUCCAUAUGCGCCUUUUGUGGAACACAUGUUCUCAUCAGGACAUUCUUAAUGGAGAUGUUCUUCUCGGCACUUAAUGUUGUUUGUAUGUUUGCCUGUCAACCUAUGGUUAUCGUUUGACUAUGUUAAUGUCACCCCAUCUACAUCCAUAUUUCCUUUCGAAGCCCAUGAUCAUUAUGUUGCACCAUUCUUUUUUUGAUAGAACAUGUCGCCUCAUUUGUGUAGCAAAUACUUUUUGGAUUCUUGUACAGUUUAAUCUGAUGGCUUCACCAAAUGUACUACCGACGAGCAUUGCGUGUUGGUUCAUGGACGUUUUACGAGAACGAAAAGGUUUCAUCUCCAGGUAUCAAUCUUCUUUGGAGACAAAACUAGCUUUCUUGCUGACUGACUCUCUUUGGCCAUGAAUUCUCAUCUUUUGAGCACCAAGUUUGUAGUCGCCAGCUAUAUUUCUCCAUCAAAUAUUGGAAGGCAUAUGUUAUGACGAGGGCGCCACUCGUGUGUCUCGGCUUGCCAGCGUCGCCUGUCACGGUGAUCCCUGUCGCUACGGUGCCGAGGUGCGAAGACGACGGCACUUGCAGGCCUCGUGGCUGAGAGCUACGGUCGAUCCGCCGAGGCACGAGAGCCGCACGCAUCCUCUCGAGGCACGCCCCAUUUGAUUACCAUGUCAAACCGAACGAAGAGAUGGCUGCCACCAGAUCUGUACGAUGGAGACGAAACCCCUCGGGCAACCACACCCUCGUCUUCCUAAAGCUAUACCGGUUGGUGCAAAAGGAAAGAUAUGUAUGGCUUCCCCUGCUAUUGUUACAGUACCAGCGAGCACGACUCAAAAGGAAAGAUAUGUAUGGCUGAGAUGAAGCAUCCCUUCCUGCUGAACUCUACAAGGAAGAAGGUGACGAGCGGAUCAUCUCUGAACCACAGGAUCCACCUUUCACUUUCACCAGCCAACAACAAGCAGAAACAAGUCAUGUGUGGUUAGCAGACAUAUCAACAUUCCUGUUGCAUCGGGACUAAUGUCAUCUGCAUUAAGGAAUGAAGAAGAGGCGUGCCAAUUUAGUUUGGUCAUUAUUAUCUCUUCUCUGAAACUUAUUCCGCCUCAUCAGAGUAACCUACAAAAGUGAUCCUCGUACCACGAUAUAGGCUUCCUUUCUAAGUCAGAGGUCGAGUGAAAGAGUAGAAGAUGGCACAAUACACAGUUGAAAGGUUCAAACACUGAUCAAGAUGAACAUACGGAAGAACAUUUUCCUAAUAGACUCUGCUUCCUCCAAAUCGUCGGACCCCUUGACCUUGGCCGUCGCAGACGUGUGCUUCAUGUCGUGUACAACAACGCUACGGCCCUGCAACCGAAGCACAGAGUACGUAGUUCCCACCUCAGGUUACAUCGAGUCCACCUGUGUGUGCGUGUGUGUGGAUUUGGAGGUCAUACACAGAGACGAAGAACAGCAACGAUCGAUGCCAUUUCAUGCCCACGUACUCCCUGUGAUGAAUCAUAAUCAUAACAUAUCUUCCCCAAAUCCCGAUACAGGAGCACGAGUAACGGUGUAUGGCUUGACCGAUUCUGUACAGAGGAUGAUGAGCAAAAGGAAGGGACUCUGAUCCGGAGCUCCUUAGCAGAUCGAGCUGCACUGCGCCGAACAUGCGCCGAGCUGUUGCGUAGGGAAGCUCGUAUCCCUCCGCUUGACUCGGACCGGAAGGCCGCCCUCCAGUGAGGCGGUGAGGCCGGGCGCAAACUUGGGCGGCAGGCUGCUGCCGUCGUCUACGACGUGGAUGUCGAACCGCCGGACCACCGCCACGAUCACCGUCUUCAUCUCCAUCAGCGCCAUGUCCUUGCCGAGGCACACCCGGAGGCCGCCUUGGAACACCGGGUACUUGUAGGGGCUCUCGGGCGUGAACGCUCCGUUGGUCAGCCACCGCUGCGGUCGGAACUCGUGGCAAUCGCUCCCCCACAGCUCUUNNNNNNNNNNNNNNNNNNNNNNNNNNNNNNNNNNNNNNNNNNNNNNNNNNNNNNNNNNNNNNNNNNNNNNNNNNNNNNNNNNNNNNNNNNNNNNNNNNNNNNNNNNNNNNNNNNNNNNNNNNNNNNNNNNNNNNNNNNNNNNNNNNNNNNNNNNNNNNNNNNNNNNNNNNNNNNNNNNNNNNNNNNNNNNNNNNNNNNNNNNNNNNNNNNNNNNNNNNNNNNNNNNNNNNNNNNNNNNNNNNNNNNNNNNNNNNNNNNNNNNNNNNNNNNNNNNNNNNNNNNNNNNNNNNNNNNNNNNNNNNNNNNNNNNNNNNNNNNNNNNNNNNNNNNNNNNNNNNNNNNNNNNNNNNNNNNNNNNNNNNNNNNNNNNNNNNNNNNNNNNNNNNNNNNNNNNNNNNNNNNNNNNNNNNNNNNNNNNNNNNNNNNNNNNNNNNNNNNNNNNNNNNNNNNNNNNNNNNNNNNNNNNNNNNNNNNNNNNNNNNNNNNNNNNNNNNNNNNNNNNNNNNNNNNNNNNNNNNNNNNNNNNNNNNNNNNNNNNNNNNNNNNNNNNNNNNNNNNNNNNNNNNNNNNNNNNNNNNNNNNNNNNNNNAAGUCAGGGCCGACGCCACCGUGUCGCGUCCGGCCAGCAUGAAGCUAAUUAUGAUGUCUCGCAGGUACUUUUCGUCAUCGACGCAGGCCAUGAAUCGAGAGAGGAGAUCGUGGUUCGAAGAGAAACCGAUCUUCCGUCGCUGGCGAAUGAGCUCGUUCGCGAGGAGGUUCACCAUGCCGAUCGCCUCCCGGAGCUCCCUUUCCGAUCCCCUGUUGAGAAGCCGCUUGGCUUUCCAUACCAUGGGCAUCGUCGAGGUCGCCCGCGAGGCCGAUAGCCUGGAGGCCUUGUCGAAGGCCGCCGCGAACUCGGACAUAGGCAGCGACAGCUCCAGGCAGCCAGGGUCGAUCCCGAACGAGAUCUUACAUAUGUUAUCGAACGCGAACCUCCGGAACACGUCCUGCAGGUCGAGGAUCUUAUCGUCCGCGCUGGAGACGUCGAGGAGGGGGAGGAAGCGACCGCGGACCUCGUCGGCCACGAUGCAAGAGGCGAAGAAGCGGACGGCGCUGCUGCCGAGCUCGGCGCCGGCCAUCUUGCGCUGGAAGCGCCAGAGAUGGCCGUCGACGUUGAAGAUGCCGCGGCCGAGGAGGUCGCCGAGGAUGGCGGAGAAGGUUUUCCCCUUGGGGUAGUUGUCGAAGCGGGCACGAAGCAUGUGCUCGACGUUGUCGGGGUUGGCCGUGACGGUGUUCCCGAGCACGUGGAUGUGGAUGGUGCGCGUGGGCGACUCCCGGAGGAGGUGCGCGUACCAGUCGCAGAGGUUGUCGAAGUGGGCGGUCCACGACUUGGUCACGUACGCCUCGCACACGGGGCAGCUGCACCACCAGGGCAUGGACCUCAGCGCCUUUAGCACCAGCGCGAGGAGGAAGAAGGCGGCGGCGAAGGAGAGGAAGAGGAGGGAGAACAGAGACCGAAAGGCUUCCACUGUUUCCUCCAUCUCCUCCUCCUUGUGCAGUCAAGAGUGUGGAAGGAUAAGAAUCAAGUGAGAGGAGAGAGACGGUUCGGGAGCGUUAUUAUAGUGGGGAUUCCAUGGCCAUUCUUAUGGUCGAUCCACGAUCCAGACUUAUCUUGUGGGGGAAACAAGACAUAAAUGGCGUAGGAUGAUGGUGCAAUAGUAUAUAAUCCAUAAUAGUGCAUUCGCAAGUCAUCGGCCGUCACUCCUCAUCUCAUUCGUAAAUGGUCUACAUCGCACAAAGCUUAACUGAUCCCAAUAUAUCAUUUCACAUCCAACUAUUCGAUUACUUACGAGUAAUUCCUUCACAUCUUUUGUAUGUUACUCUUUGUCUUUAUCUUCGUCUUCGUUCACCGAUCCUCGUCUCCAAUUCCGACACAGACACCAUUUACACGGACGACCAAAUGGCCGAACGACCACCGCCACCCAUUGGUUUCAGGCUGCGGUCCCCACAACUUAAAUCAUCUGUCCCCAAAGACCUCAGAUGUAUAUAUUUAUUUACCAAGAUAAAACGAGUCAACAAAUCAUCUAAGCUAUAUUAGAGGAGUAUUGAAGCUAUUUAAUGCAUAUUAUUAUAGAUGACAGCCGCGCUCGUGACGAAAUUGUCAUCGUCGCUUCCUGGCUCAUGUUGUCGUAUGCGGGUUAAUAUGGAUCCCGGUUCGCAUGCACUGUUGGUGUAACCAACUUUUAAGCCGUGGUCUCAGUGCUGACGUGGCUUGGUUCGGGUCCGAAUGAUAGGAGAUCUUCCUGGGAUGACCCUUGAGACUGCAGAAGACCGACUACGGUUGUCCGAUCGCGAAGGGGUCAAUGUUUCCUCUGAGAGGGGCUCCUCGUCUGAGCGUUUAGUGGGAGGCCUCCGUCUUCGCACCUGCACACAGGUCGGGUCGAGGGAGCUCGACCUGACCCCUCCGAUGAUCAAGUCAGUGAAUAGUCACAGAGGUUUUUGGUUGUUCUCCUUUCUCCUCCUUCUUUCAUUUCCUCGGAGUGCGAGGAUUUUUAUAGUGAAUGUUACCAUUGCCUGAUGUGCCCGCUUGCAUAGAGCAGGAUCGUACUCCUGGUAAUGUUUGACAUCGAUGUUGGUGUGGCGUGAAGGAUCGAGCCUGAGCAGGAUGCUAAUGAGCCUCGAUCAGUGUUUCGGUCCGUGUUGACAUGGUUAACAGAGGUGCGAGACGUCAUCUGGGACAGUUGACGUCAACCCGAGUCUUAUCGCCAUUAUUAUCCUCAUCGUGCAUCAAAUUUGGCUGCAUAAAAUGGUAGGUCUAAUUAGCUGCUCCUCUCAGUAGUAUAUUAACGACAUUACGUGUCGUUCGAGGUAGCUGGUGGCUGGAAGUGGUAGUUUAUGAGAACGCUCACGUAACAUCCAUUCGUAUGCAGUAGCAGCAACAGCAGCGAUCGAUCCUUAUCGCUCCGUUGGGUGUCUCCUAGUUCAUGCGUGUGUGUCUCUAUGAGCUACACGUACGCUACUAUUAUUACUAUUUUAUACAUACGUACCUACAUGCCCAAACAACCAUGUCCACCGCUCAUGUGAAUACGAUUCCAUCACCAGCAGUUUGAAUAUGUGCUCGGUGAUGACACACCGAAACGAUUCCCUUCAUCAUGAACGCACACAGGCGGUACAAUAUGCAUUCAUGCUGCUAACAGUGCGCGUAUAUUUUAUGCGUGCAUACAGCCAAUCGUACCUGUGCGAGUCAUGAGGCCCGUAAAUCUCGCUGGGACCGCCACCUCCUUCCGUCUCUCCGGAUUCUUAAAUGGAAAGGCGGUGGGCCAUCGAAGUGUUUGGGGGCUGUCACUGUUGCUUUUGGUGGCCAUGCCACCUGCAACACACUAAUAUAUUCAUGGGUUAUCCUGUUGUUUAAGAUGCCUUUUGAUCGGCGACUUCAUGCACGAUAUCUAUGUGUACAUACAUAUAUGUGGAUUGAUUGAUGAUGCAUUUCUUUAGAUCUAAGCUUUGAUUCUUUACGUUUCCGUGAGGUCCCCUUACCUUUUGUGUUUUGUGCAGUUCUAUCCAUGGCUGCUGCGGUUUACAGUUGCAUCAUAGAGCUUAGAGCGUUCUUGAACUGAUGUUACGGGGUGACGAAUCAGGUGAACGAGCACGGAGAGCACCGGCGGCGUACAGCCCUCAGGUGCAGCGACAGGCAAGACGUAUGGAUCGAUGUCAGAUGUGGAGAAUCGUUUAGCGUGUAUCUGAUCAGAUGAGAGAGUUGUGCUGAGAGGACAUGACCUUUGUUUUGUGACACCACAAACUCAUGAAGCAUGUGACUUGAUUCCCACAUGAAACUUGGAUUUCACCGCACAACCUCGUUACAGCAGCUAGCGAGGUGGGUGGAGCUGGGAGAGAGAAGUGCAAGCAGCAUGGUGAAUCUAGGAUAGCCUCAGUCCUGAAAUAUCUAUUAUUAUUUUUCCAAUACAAUAUCAGAAUCAAUAGACAGACAAUAUUUGUUUUAAUUACAUAAAAAACCGAGUUUGGUCGAAUGAGAACGAGUCAUAUCAUGAUAUAUAGUGAGCCAUUGGUGAAUUAUCAGAAAAGAUGUGAUGAACUAUUACUAUAAACUCAAAGUUAAGCAUACCAGUUGGUGUCACUGCCAACAUUCAGUUCAGGAAGCAGUGACUAUUGAUACCAUUGAGAACAAUUCAAAUGUAUCAGUUUGUCAAUUUUUUAUGAGAGAAAUGUAGUAUGGGCAUUUGGAGGCCACACGAAACACUUUUGUCAUCGCUCUCCGUUUACAUGUUAAGGCUAAGAAUUGAAUGGUAUGGAAGACGGGAACUACGAGAGGGAUUAUCCAAUCGAAAGCGAAGUGAGGCAUCUAUAAGUGACAAUGGGUGAUUGUAGUAGAAUAAGAAUCUUUUAUGCAUUUGUUCCAAGUUAAUGCAGGAAGCUAUUACGUAUACUAUAAAAGUUCCAAGAAAAAAGGAAAACCAAUAUGAGAUUUCUAUUUUUUUUUUUGUUUUUUGGGGUGAUGAUAAUUUUAAAUUUCAACGCCAUUAUGUUAAGGAUCAUCAGCCAAAUGAGUUGGACUACAGUAAGUUUCUUCGUUUGUUUGACAAAUAUUACGCACGACCCAUGAACUUAUUAUGAUGUUGCUAUAGGACGAGCUCAUGAAAGAAAAGAGAGUAAAAGAUGAAACCUGAUAACCAGUAGUGAUCCGUCCAUUCUUAACUUACAUGAAGCCUUUCUGCACGCAUGGCAAAGCCACAUGCAUGCGAAGAAACCAUCACAUAAAAUAUCCCUCGAGAGACUUGGACGUUCUUCAAUGGUUCCAUGGAAUCUUGUGCCGCCCACCGGUGUUUUCUUCUUCCGAAUGCAGACAGAACCCAGGUGGGAACGACAUCCACAGGCGCAGCCGCGGCAUCUCUCGAAAGGCUCAUGACUCCUUCCCGCUUCCUCCCAACCUGUCUCUUUCAUUCUUUCCUUUUUAUUUAUUAAGAUAAUAUAUAUUUCUAUAAAUUUAAGAAACAAAGUUUUCAAUCAUAUUCUUAUAUAAUUAAUUUUUAAAUUAUAAAUCAAUUGAGAAUUUUGAUGUAUAAAGAAUAUAAAAUUAUCAUUCCAUAUUUACUUUUAUUAUGAUCUUUCAUUAGCUUUCGUCGAGAAUAUCAAUCUUGGAUCGAUUUAACUAAAAUACCUUACGAGAGAGAGGCUCCGUAGGAGAGUUAGUUAGUCAAAAGUAUAAGUAUAAACGUGAAAAUUUCGUAGUUGACGUAUAACAACUUUGAUCUCUAAAAAAGUGAAAGUCGAUGAAACAACAUUUGAAACAAAAAUGAUUAACUAAAUGAUUUAUAAAGCUAAUGACUACUUAUAGAUAUUAUCUUUAUUUUGAUCCUAGACCAAUGAUACUCUCGUUCUUAGAUCCUCUAUUGUAGUACUACAUGAAGAAAUUAAUGAUGCUAUAGAGUAAAUAAUUGAGAUUUGAAUAACUUACAUAAUAAAACAGUCUUGACGUAAUCAUAAUUUAUAGUUAGGAUUUUUCAUUAAGGUUGAUUAUACUGAUAUUUUAAUAUUUUCGAAUAGACAAUUGAGCGAGCUAUUGACAUAACUUAGUAAAUCAUAUCAAAAGAGAACGUCAAUGAACUAAGCUCACCAAAAUAUAUAAUUGUCAUUUAUGAAAAGUUUAAAGGGGAUCAAAGUUGCUACAUUAUUAGAUAUGAGUUAGAUAUGGAUCCUAUAGGUUAAGAAGAACUAUUAUUCCAUAUAAUCAUAAGAGUGUUAAAGUGAGAAGAGGGUGGCGCCUUAAAGCAAAAAACCAAAUUGAUUGUAGCGAGAGUUGCAGGUAUAAUAAAGAUUAUGAAAGAGGAUGAUUUUAUUUAAAAUAAUAUAUAUUUAUAUAUAUAUUUGAAGGAGAGAUUUUUAUCAACUAUGUGCUUAAAUCUAAAUCAAAGAAGAAGAACUAAAGGUUGUUAAGUAGUUGGAAGAGAAGACAUGAGGAAGGAGAGGGUGGCGCCUUAAAGCAAAAACGAAAUCGAUUGUAGCGAGAGUUGCAGGUAUAAUAAAUAUUGUGAAAGAGGAUAAUUUUAUUUUAAAUAAUAUAUAUAUAUAUAUAUAUAUAUAUAUAUAUAUAAUUUGAUUCUUAAAUCAUAAAUUAAUUGAGAACUAGAAUAAAUAAGAAAUACAAAACCUAUCGUUCAAUAUUUAUCUCUCUCAUUAUAUUUAAUCGUAUCACUUUUAAAAGAGAGAUAUUUAAGACCUAUUGGUUAUAUAAUAAUAUACUAAUCAUUUCUCUCAACAAAGAUACAAAGUCUGAUUUCUUAAGUAUUGAUAAGACAUAUUUUACCUCCAAGACAUGUCAUGGCUAAUGUCGCAUGUCAUGUCAGAAUCCGUGCUCCCAAGACACUGUUCGACAUGUCUGGUCCCGAUAAUCCCGGGACGGCAACGCCCCGCACACCGAGCCAAAAUCCAUACUGAUGCCAUGUUGUGCCCACCACGCCAACCCGCGUACGACCGACCCUCUUACGGCAGUAUAAAGACCUCGAUCCCAACCUCCAGUAGGGGGCAAGAGAAAAUUAACAAAACCUAUUACUAACUUGCUCGUCGGAGGGGCCAAAGUCGGGAAUCACCCGACGAAGAUCGUUUUUACGGGAAAGUAGCCCAACCUCGGAAGCUGAGGACCGGCGUCCCCACGGCAGGCCAUUGACCAACCCCGACUCGAGGACCUAAUCGGCCCCGAUGGCCAGCUUCAGUCGACAAGAGGCUCCCAACAUCGACCCAUGAACCAAGUCGUACUGAGUCAUCAGCCACGGCACAUUCCUUCAAUAACAAGUAUUACUCUUACCAGCUCAUGUAAUCAACGGCGGAUAAUGGAGUCGGACUAAGGUUUGAGUUGGUGAAUCUAAUUAUUGAGUUGGAUCCAGAUCCGGAUCCGGAUGAACAAACACGUGCUAUUCACAUGUCCUCUCUGGAAUCUGCACGCUUAUCACCACUCUAUUCCAUCGCUAUCAUCUCAGGAUCACGACCGUCCAUUUUAUUGCAUCCUCGAUGAUACAUGAUUCAGCUUUGUGGGUAACGCCAUCACCAUCACCAUUUCCCUCGCCCACCGGUUCUGAUUCCAUCUACCUCUGCAGACGUUACAAGCUCUCAUGAUUCCCAGGCCUCUCUCGAGGUCAAGAGGCAGCGUAAACAGCGAUCGAACACUAGGGACCGCCGUCAAACACCUUCUCGACCCUCCCAACGAGCCGAGUCCCCGCGGUCUCUGCUCUCAUCGCCAACUGUUCGACGGAAGCCCUCUUGAGAGCCCUUCCCCGUGGAACCGCCUGCUCUUCCGGCACUCGAGGAACAAUCUUAACAGAGAACCUCUGAGUUUGUUCCUGGAGGCUCGGAGGUCUGGGCAGCCCCUCGACGAUUCCUCGCUCUCGUGCGUUCUCAAGGCUUGCGGAUGUUUAUGGGAUCGAAACCUUGGCAGGCAACUGCAUGGCCUCUGUGUGAAAUGUGGGCACGGAUCGGGGGUCGGCGUUGGCACCUCGCUGCUUGAUAUGUACCUCAAGUGUGAUGGCGUGGAUGAUGGAGUGAGAGUGUUCGAUUCAAUGCCUGAGAGAAAUGUGGUGAGUUGGACCUCUUUGCUCACCGGGUAUUCUCAAAAGGGACUCCAUGAUGAUGCAUUUGAGUUCUUUUCCCGGAUGCGAUCCGAGGGAAUUAAGCCAAAUCCUUUCACUUUUGCCACUGUUCUUGCAUCGGCCGCGGCUCAGGGAGUACUUGAGAACGGAAGGCAAAUGCACGGCCAAUUGAUCAAAUUUGGAUACCAGGGUACAGUGUUUGUGUGCAAUCCUCUGAUCAACAUGUACUCCAGGUGUGGUCUAGUCGAAGAGGCUCGAGCGGUCUUCAACCGCAUGGUGAACCGGGAUGCUGUUUCUUGUAAUGCGAUGGUUGCAGGCCUUGUGUUGAAUGGGUACGAGUCUGAAGCAGUGCAAGAGUUUCGUCACAUGAGAGCUGCCGGCCUGAAACCGACACAGUCGAGCUUCGCUACCAUGAUCAAGUUGUGCGCUAAUCUUAAACAGCUCGCGUUUGCUCGACAGCUCCAUUGCUGUGUAGUGAAAGAAAGGUUCGACCUGGAUGCCAAUGUAAUUACAACACUGAUGGUGGUUUACAGUAAAUGCAGCGAAAUGGAUGACGCAUUUGAACUUUUUUCCAUGCUGGGAGCUCGAUCCGUGGUCUCAUGGACUGCUAUGAUCAAUGGGUAUAUACAGAAUGGACAUGUCAGUCGAGCUGCACUUCUCUUUAGUCAGAUGAGGUUAGAUGCUGUUGAGCCGAAUGAUUUCACCUACUCUAUUCUAUUGACGGCUUCGCCUCAGAUAUCUCCCUUCCAAAUCCAUGCCCAGGUCAUCAAAACCAAAUUCCAGCAAGUCCCUUCUGUAGGCACUGCUCUGCUCGCAGCAUAUACUAAGCUAGGAAACACUUGCGAAGCCUUCUGUGUCUUCAGGGGGAUUAAAGAAAAGGACAUUGUGGCAUGGUCUGCAAUGCUAGCAUGCUAUGCCCAAGCAGGUGAUUCUGAAGGGGCAGUGAAGCUGUUCACAGAGAUGGCUAGGAAGAGUAUCGGAGCAAAUGAGUUCACCCUCUCCAGUGCGAUUGAUGCAUGUGCAAGUCCAACAGCUUCAGCAGAUCAGGGGAAGCAGUUUCAUGCCAUUUCUAUCAAGCUUAAAUAUGAAAACACAUUGUGCGUGAGCACAGCUCUCGUCACUAUGUACGCAAGGAGGGGGAGCAUAGAGAGUGCUCAGGGAGUCUUUGACAGGCAGUCAGUGAGGGAUCAGGUUUCCUGGAAUUCUAUGUUGAUGGGUUAUGCUCAGCAUGGCUAUUCUAAGAAGGCCCUUGAAUUAUUUAGAGGCAUAGAAUCUAGAGGCAUUGAAAUGGAUGGAAUCACCUUUAUUGGUGUUAUCAUAGCAUGUACACACACAGGGCUCGUAGAAGAAGGCAAGAAGCACUUUGAGUCAAUGGUACAUAAUCACCAUAUCAGUCCAACUGUGGAACAUUAUGCCUGCAUGGUUGAUCUUUAUAGUCGUGCUGGUAAACUCGAAGAAGCAAUGAGUCUGAUCAAGGAGAUGCCUUUUCCAGCAUCUGCAACUGUGUGGCGUACUCUGUUGGGUGCCUGUAGGCUUCAUCGGAAUGUGGAACUCGGAGAGCUCGCUGCAGAGAAGUUAAUGUCACUUGAACCUUCACAUUCUGCUGCAUAUGUGCUCUUAUCUAAUAUGUAUGCAGCUGCUGGGAGAUGGGCAGAGAGGGCCAAGAUAAGGAAGCUGAUGGAUGCCAGAAAAGUAAAGAAAGAAGCUGGAUGCAGCUGGAUUCAAAUUAAGAACAAAGUGCAUUCGUUCUUAGCUUCUGAUAGAACUCAUCCUAUGUCAGAUAAGAUAUAUACAAAGCUUAAAGACAUUACAAUUCGAUUGAAGGAGAAAGGGUAUCAACCAAAUACAGAUUAUGUGCUUCAUGAUAUGGAAGAGGCGCAUAAGGAGGUCAUGCUAGCUCAGCACAGUGAGAGACUGGCCAUUUCUUUUGGGCUGAUAGCUACGCUUCCUGGGACACCCCUCCAAAUUGUAAAGAACCUUAGAGUGUGUGGGGAUUGCCACACCGUGAUUAAGCUAAUAUCAGAAAUAGAGCAGAGGGAGAUUGUUAUCAGGGACUCAAGCCGAUUCCACCACUUUAAUAGAGGCUCUUGCUCUUGUGGUGAUUAUUGGUGACUGGACUUCAGUAUCUUCCAAAUUCUAUGUUAUGGUUACUUGGAGGAGGCACAGAAUGCAAAUUGUAGGGCCAACCAAUUCAUAUUUGAAGAGCUUACAUCUUUGGGAUUACCUUGCUAACUGAACUACAAUCAUACAGCCAAUUGAAUUCUUUGUCAGAUUAUCUCAACUACAAACAUAGUAUUAAAUACAUGGUAGCCGAAGAUGUGGUGACUAGCCAUAAAAAUUGGUACUUUUGUUGGGUUUGAACAUAAGAGCCACAGAGACACAAAAUAUGAAUAGGUGGACAUUUACACAAGAAUCAUAACUGAGAUGGCAAAAAUUGCUAUGUUGAAACCUUGUUUUUGCAAAACAGUUCACUGGUAGAAGUAAUUCAUAGGAAUUGCUUACACAAAGGAACUUUAUCGAUGAUUGAGCUAUGCUCUCCAGAAAUCGAGUGGAAAGUUCCUGCAUUAAAUCAGUAAUUUUAUGUUCAUUUACAUAAAGUAACUGAGUGGAGAGUUACCAUAAUGAACAAUGCUCCUCCAGCAGGCAUGGUGGCACCCAUUUGGUCCUAGACAUGCUGGUGCUCAAUAGACCUCAUUGGUCUAUAUGCAUUCUUCUCAGAGUUCUGUACCUCAAUAGUCUGCAACGUCACUUGUUCAUCUCCAUGAAAACUUCCAGACUUCUUAUGAGGGUUUUGCUCAGGUACUUGUCUCAGUGCCAAUUGUGUUUUUGUUGUCUGAUGGACUUGGAUGUCACCGAUCUGCUUGUAUAUUAUUUUGUCUAUGCAACUUAUGUGGUAAUUUUAACAUAUCAAUAAUUGACCUAUUCUUGUUCCACACUGAUAUCAAUGUUUGUAUCUAGUAACUAAAUCUAUCUUAAUUCAGUCCUUUAUCCUUGAAGAAAACCUAUAUGCUCACAAGUUUGUUCUUUUAUAUUCAUAAACUUAGAACUGAUUAUUUCAUUGGCAACAUGAUCUUUCAGUUUUAUUGAUCUCUCAGGUUGCUGGUUAUUUGAGGAAUACAAUUCAGCAUGAAGGAACUUUUCUCAUUAUUUAGAAUUUUGCAUAAAUAAGGCUAUUCACUCUUUGUACUGUCUAAAGGCUGCUUGGGCGUUCUCAAUUUCAUGGUAGUUAGUACUUGCCAUCUUAGUGUGUGGCUCAACACCAGACAGAUCUUCACCAUCAGGAGUCUUUAAGUCUUUAUGGUCCUUAUUUCAGUUGAAGUUACAUAGCCAAUCCUGGGCAUCUGACAGACUCAUCAGCAGCAACCUCAAACGAGCUCUAGCAAGGGCCUGGAGGUACCUGUACCUGCUGUCAACUGGAAUUCUGUGACCGGAAUUUUGGAUGAUGGUUAAGUGAAUUUUUGUUGGCAGGAGAGUGCAGAUGUAGAAAGCUUUGCACGUGUCAGAAGAUAAACCUUCUUAGCUAUCUUCUUUCCUGCACUAUGCAUAUCCUUGUACAGGCUUCAGAUAUCCCCUGUUUUGCUGGUGCUGAAGAGGAAGGAAAAGCAUAACUUGACGAUAGCAUACAAUUACUAGGUUAGUAUCAGCAUUAGAUAUGGAACACAUAAUACUGUAUGUGUGAGCUCUAACAAGUGUUUGUAUAUUUUCUUCUGCAGCGGGACAUACGACAUGGUUUGUUUGGAACAGAGGGGCCCUUCAAGUCCAUUCAAAGAGAGAGUAGCAGGUGAGUUUGCUCCCAUACUUAUGGUGCUUGAUGUUUAAACUUUAUGGCUGUCAUUCACGUUGUUCUUACUUGAUCUUGAUCUAAUGCUUUAACAUGUUUUUGCAUAAAAUGUAUCAACAAACUUAUUUUGUUGGAUGUGAUCAUUCAACCUAUACCCAACAGCAUGCGUAGAGACCGAUAUACAAUGUGACAUCGAAUCUAAAUCUGUAAUGGUUUCUCAGAUUUGCAACCGCCUGUGGUUCUCAGUGUGUCAGAAUCCGUAGGAUAUCUAAACCAGUGAUAAUCCUGUGUUGGCUUUAGCUAACAGAGACCAAAAUGGUGUAUAUCUCUACAAAUUGGAAUGUAGCCUUUGCUCCUUAUUUCUAUCCUACUUAAAAGAGAUAAUCUAGAUAAAUUUUUUUCUAAUGCCCAAGUUUUAUCGAGUACUAAAGUUUUUGAACUAGUGCAUGAAAUCAUGGAACGAACUUUCUUGUAUCAAAUGAGUCCUAACGUCUGUAUGGUUUCUUUGGUGUUGCAUUAUUGUGGAAAGCAGAAAUGUUAUGCUUUUUUAAGUUGGUGCGAGAAAUUGCACAAACUUUUCUAUUUCGGGUAAGUUUUUUUGUUAUCAUAUUUUUUUUACGAAAAAUGUCUGUGUUACUUACGCCCUUCUGGUAGAAUUAAGAUUUAAUACACUUGGAAAGAACUAUUGUUGUAGUGCUUGCUGCUGUUUCAGUUGGGGGAUGUUCACCAAAUUCAUUGAAUCCAUUGAGAUAUAUGGAGGAUUAGGUCAUAAGCCUCCCUAUGCAAAAAUCUACGAUUGGCUCUUCGCCUCGAUCACUGAAUUCUUAGUGUCUUGGUUAUAUAUAUGCAAUCACUGAAUUCUUAAUGUUUUGGUUAUAUAUGUAGCGGGAGAGCGAAGGUCAUGCAGGAGAAAUAAAUGAAAAAAUGUUUUUUCUUAACUGAGAAAAAUGCAAGUCAUAUAUUUCUUUUAUAAAGCUGAGUGGAUAAAAUUAUCAAGUUAUUUACCAGCUAGACUAGUUAACUUUUUGAAAAAAUUAUCAGAUGAUGAUUUCGACAAACUAACUGUCGUAAGUAGAUAUGGUACACCUCGGGGUUUCUGGAUCAAUGACUUUGGCAUAGUUAGGCAAGCUUAACCAUUUGUGCUGCACCUAUUUCUUCCCUUAAGUGACAAUGAAGGCCUCCUUUGAUUUGAAAUCUAUAUGGAAAAAUAUGAUCAACUAUAUGCUUAGUCUAAUGGUCCUGCGAAGAAUGUUUCUUGGUCUUGAAGGAACAUCUGGAUUGAUCUUUGGUUUAGCGGCCUUCCAUUUAACAAAGGGUCAACCUUGUUCAUGUAAGUAAAAUAUGAUUAGAUUCGAUCUUAUUGGUGACUUAUGCAUGCUUCUCGACAAGACUAUUAAUAACAAACUGCUUCUUGUUAUCUUUGUGUAGUUUAGUCAGAUCUUGAGCUGCUUUCACGCGUUACCUGAUAUCCUUUGUGAUGAUAGGCUACAUUUGGACUCCGACACCACUGAGAGAUAUGAUAGCAAGUAGUGCUUGUCUCUUAUGUUGUGAUCCAGAAUCAAAAUUUUCCUGCCAAAAUUGUAUUGGAGAUCGCUCACCUCGGUUGUCAUAUUUGUCACCUCGCCGCCGACUCUUCUUCACUUAUUUUCUUGGAAUAUUUUUUAUGGCAUGAUAUUACCACUAAACCAAUGCUUAUUGUAUGUAAUAAUUAUCAGUAUUUAUUAAGAUAAAUUUUGAUUGUUUAAUUAUAAUAUUAAUUCAGAGUUAAUUGAGAUCUUAUUCUGCAUCCGUCUCGGGAUGGUGUCGAAUUAAAUAGUUUUGAGUUCAUUUGAUUCGGGAUGCAUUGAAUCCUGUAAAAUUAUGUCGGAGACGUACUCCGUAAAAUCUCUUCAAAGCUUAAGUUAGCUCUCGAGUUAGUGGUGUCAAUGUACUAGAGAAUGACUUUUGAAAGAAUAUACUUAAGGGGUCUUUUAUAAUGAGGUCUUGGAUUGUUGCACUUGAUAUCAUGGUUUAAUAUUGGGAACAAUUAUGUAUCUUCUCCGAUGUUAAGUGUAAGUGUGUCGCAUCGAAUCUGAAGGAUAGAGGAUGGGUCAUGCGUGGGGUUGUAAAGUUCGAAGGGAAGAGUCAUAUACACGAUAGAUAUUGAAGCGUGAGUCAUAUGACAUGAGAUGUUGAUAUUUUGUGUUACAAUUGUACUCUACGAGGGAGAUUAAACCCUUGAUAUUUUUUAGAUCCAUCUCGAUGGGCUAUGGAUUUUUAAUAAUGAGAUGGCCUUUAAGGAGAUUACAAUUGAUAAUUCCUUACUCCAUCCAAAUAUCUUUAAAAAAUAAUAAAAUAUAAUUUUACUAAAUAUAAACUCUCAAUUAUCAUCAUUUCAUAUAACUCAUUAUUUCCAUUGGUCAAUCAUCCCAAUCGACAUUGAAACCCUAGAUGCAUCUCUACCAACCAUCUUCAAUUAGGAGGAGGAGAAGAAGAAGAAAAAUGGAUUGUUUGUAAGGAGUUGAAAGAGUGUUGAAUUUAAGUGAAAAUUAAAGAUAUUUACAUCCAUUUAUAAAGAAAUAUCUUAAAAAUAUUAAAAAAUAUAUAUAAAUAGUAAAGAGAGGAUUGUAAAUAGAAAUCUCCCCAUUGAAACACCACCAUAAUUGGUAUUCAGCCCACAUAAAGAUAAAAUUCACGUAGUUAUACUAAGAUAAGAAGGUAUAUCGUUGCAGGUAAAUGAUUAAUUCGGCAUUUGUUAAAAUCAUAACCUCUCAAAUCUGUCGUGUUCCAAUGCAAGCUACCACACGCAAUUCUUUUAAUAUCUUAUAAAAGUUAGGUCUAGUUGUAUUGUUUUGCUCUAAAAAAAUAUAUAUGCACAUCUCUUUCUUGUCUCUACUUUCAUGAUCUGCUGCUGCUGCUGCUAACCCUUGGUCUUGUCGAACAGCCACGAUCGGAAAUGCCUUCAACUCUCCUACCUCCUUUUGCUUUCGCGGGGCACCAUCUCUUUAUUAUAAGAUCUCGAUCACAAUGCAUACAACAUACUUCUCCUUUCUCUGUCUCUUCCACGUCCAUGCGCAGAUAUCAGAAGGCUGAAAAAUGAUUGUGCAGUGGUUGAUGAAUUAUAUGCGGGUCCGCUGUGGCAGGGACGACACUGUCAUUGGCAACCAAGCUCCUGCAGUGAGUAAAAUAUACAUGCAGAAAGUCAUGUGGAUGUAGGGAGGAUAUAUAGCCAAUUCACAACAUGAGAAAAAGAAAAGCAAAGCAGAACAUGUUUAGAUAUGCCAAAUCUAUCAUCACAGGUUAAACAAUGGAGAAGAAGCUAACGGUCAACCAUUUAGGAUUCGCCCAAUGAUUGACAAGGCAUCUGUAGCACUAAAAAGAUGAUCACGAAGUGACUAGCUAGCGCACAGCCUUUGAUAAUAUAAUUGGAUGGAUGCUUCUGCGCAUCGUGGAACAGACUAUUUUACGAAGCUCCACUUGGUUGGCACUAUGAUCGGAUUAGUUUUAGCUAGCAAAAUGUGAUCGACAUGUACAUAAAACUACGAGAAGCCCCCCUUCCACAGAGGAAUGGUCAUGUGCAUAUUACAAGAAGAAACUAGAAUGCAUGCAUGCAUGAGCAGCUUACUCUUGAGGGCGAGAAGCCCAUAGGGAGCUCAGAGCACGUAGGCGGGUGAAGUACUCUCCGAUCGCCAGGAAACAUCUUGCUGCUUGUUUGGUCGUCAGCUGUUGACGCAACUGGUGCAAGGUUUGUUGUCUCAAGUUGUCAGCCUGCAUCAGGUAAAAGGGUAGAAGCUUGUUCUAUCUUCUUACCUUGUUGACAUGAUGAAUAGACAUGCAAAAAAACAGCGGGAGGAGGUUAAAAAGAAGCAUGAGUCGGAGCAAAGAUAUAUCUGACGACUUGUUCAAGAGGAUUGUAAUGGUUCAAAAAGGCUAUCUUAUCUAUCUUUCGGUCUUUUAUUUUUAGUAUCUCCCUCGACGAAGAAGGACUCCACCUCAUGGUCACAUUAAACAACAAAAGAGGAUCUUUUCUAAGGGUAUUCUCAUGCAACAAAAUAAUAACAUCGACCAAGUUUACUUUGACACGGCAGACAUUAGUUGGAUAUCAGUUGGGAAUAUGAGAUGAGUAGCAUGCAUGUUUGUAUUGUAUUGUAUUGUACUGUACUGGACCAUCUUGGGGAAACAAACAAACUAAUCGCAUUGUCCAUGGAAAUGAAAGACUAGCAAGUUUUGGUCCGUUUCUGUUCGGAUGAAACAGUGUGUAUAAUUCAAAUAGCUUUGUAUUAUUGGGGGUUGGAUAAGUUGAUUACCUAAAAGCCAAAAAAGAAAGAAAGAAAGAAAGAAUAUAUAAAGGUCAUUAUUAUCACAAGGAAAGAGAAGAACAAAAUAAGGGAACUCUUUUUGAGGUAUUCUAGUAGAUUUGGUUUUAACAUGAUCUAAUUUUUAUUCUAUU